rnacentral:lncRNA from 1 species
GCCAGCUCACCUCUAGAGGAGCGCACAAUUCGUGUGCAAGCCCUUGCAGCCCCGUCAGCUAAUUCGGUUCCCUGCUAAUCGCCAGAGGAUGUCAUCAUCGAUCUUAUCCUUGGGCUCUUAUGGGACCGAAGUCGGGCGCCUAUCUAAGGACGCCCUCGAGUUCUAUGAGCACUCCAUCCUCCUCCAUGGACCCUCAGCUAGCUCCCCAACGCCACAACUCGACCAAGGCCGCCCGCCCUGCUCGCCUCCGAUUGCACCGCCGCCGUCAACUUUCCGGUCAAUUGCAGCAACCCGAGCCCCUCCUGCUCCACCUUAGCCACCAUUAGCUCAACCACGGCCCCUAGUAUCCACCCCAUGCUAAAUCGCAUUGGUAAUGAACCGUUGGCAGAAGCCAGUGCGCCGGAGCCUCCCUUCCGCCAUGGUCUGUGGUGUGCUCACUCUCGAGCUCUCUGCGACUCCUAAUGCUCCUAUACGAUGAGGCCCUUCCCCAUGAGCAUGCUGGUGUGCCCUGCUCCGGGAAUUGUACUUCCUAGCACCAGCAAUCGCCGUCGGCAUCAUCCCUCCCCUCUACCCAUGUGCGCGAGGGGAAGAAGACGAACCCCAUAGGUGGGUUCCCCUGUCCGCGAGCCAGCCUCGACACCGAUGGAGCAGAUCCCGUGGUGCAUUUUCUCUUUAGAGAUGUGUGUGAUCUGGAGUGUAUUUUCCCUUUCCCGAAAACAUAUUUGUUUUCGAAAAUGUUUUCUUCUCUAUUUUAUUAAAAAACAAAAUUUGGACGAAACUUUGACUGCUUAUAACUUUUAAACUACAACUGCAAACGAGUUGGUUCUUUUUCUGUUGUGUCUCAAAUUUCACCUAAUUUAUUGUCAUAUUUAUUUCAAAAACUUUCAAACAACUUUUAUACACUAUUUUGGAAAUGUGUGUUGAUUCCGAUAAUUUCAAAAAUAGAAAAAAUUGGAGGGAAGAAAUUUUCAAGAUUUUUGGGGUGCACACCACCCUUCUUCGGACCAAAGGCAAGCAUCUUGAACCCAAAUUUGUCUUAAGUGUGUGAUGGCUUGUUGUGGUGAAUGGAUGCAUGGUUAUGCUACUUAGAUAAAAACUCUCCAUAGCAACAUAUUUUGCGCCAAAGCAUGUGAUGGGUACUUAUUUGCUGUUGAGCAUAUAAUACUAGUGAUGAGUGCGUACUACCUGAUGCCAUGUAUCUCAUGUGGGUUUGGACAACAUCGUAGGAAGGUUUGUCAUGGUAAACAUGUGACUGUGAAACCGAUAUCUCGUGGCAACGAUAAUGAUCUGUGAGUGCAUAUCAAGGUGUGAUGGUGGUAACCCAAUUGAAUAACAUUCAGGAAUUUUGUGGUGCUAACACUUGCAUGCAAACUUAAUCCCCCGAGUAGAACGUAGAUCGGGUCUUGUGCCACUAACCUUCAUAUUGAUUUGUGCUACUACUUGUCCGUACGACAGGUAGGGUGUGGUUGAGUAAUUUGUCGACCCCUUUCCUUGCACACACCAUACAGACAGGCCAUAGUGGAAGAUACCAGUUGCAACUGGUAGGCAUGCCACUUGGUCCGGCGGCAUGGGUGUUUCCGGCCUGGGGAUUAGAGGGGGCACCCCUUAGUAGCACGUGGUAUAAAUGUGAUCCCCUUCUAAGUGGAGAUUGUGAUCUUCCCACUGAAAGUCUUACUUAACGAGUGACAUGGGUAAUCCCACGCAUCGGGAAGUUAAACUAGUGUCUGCAGGUCAGGUGUGUUUUCAACUCAAAGACCGUAAUCAGAAUUAGUUGACAUCUCUUGUUGACUAAAGAAAUCCGUUACUCAUGGGUAAAGAGUACACCCUCUUCAGAGUUAAAUAUCUAUUCGAAUAGCCAUGUCCGUGGGUAAGGACUACAUUUUGGGAUGGAUCAAAUUCUGUCGAAGUGUCGGUGUUCGGAGGAAUUAAUUGAAACAUGAUGAUGAUCAUGAACGAGUAUGAUAACCAUAAUGAUUAUGAAUUUUGAUGUGGACUACUCAUUUCUGGUAUAUGAAUUUUUGAGUAUCCUUCGGACGGUUCUACCUCCUAGAUAAUCUAUGUUAUUAUUAUCAUAUAAGUCCUUUAUGUGGUGUCGCUUAGACACCUGACUGUGGCAACUAUUAUUUUUAUCAUAUAAGCCCUUUAUGUGGUGUCACUUAGACGCCAACUGUGGCAACUAUUAUGAUUGUGUCAUUUUGUUGUUAUUGUUUUUUGCAUGUCAAGUAUACGUUCCUAUGACCAUGAGAUCAUGUAACUCGUUGACACCGGAGGAAUUCCUUGUGUGUAUCAAACGUUGCAUCAUUAUUGGGUGAUUAUAAAGGUACUCUACAGGAAUCUCCGAAGGUGUCCUUUGAGUUAGCACGGAUCAAGACUCGGAUUUAUCACUCCGUGUGACGUAGAGGUAUCUCGGGGCCCACUCGGUAAUACAACAUCACAAACAAGCCUUGCAAGCAAUGUGACUAAAGAGUUAGCCAUGAGAUAUUGUAUUAUAGAACGAGUAAAGAGACUUGUUGGUAAUGAGAUUGAAAUAGGUAUGGUUAUACCAACGAUCGAAUCNNNNNNNNNNNNNNNNNNNNNNNNNNNNNNNNNNNNNNNNNNNNNNNNNNNNNNNNNNNNNNNNNNNNNNNNNNNNNNNNNNNNNNNNNNNNNNNNNNNNNNNNNNNNNNNNNNNNNNNNNNNNNNNNNNNNNNNNNNNNNNNNNNNNNNNNNNNNNNNNNNNNNNNNNNNNNNNNNNNNNNNNNNNNNNNNNNNNNNNNNNNNNNNNNNNNNNNNNNNNNNNNNNNNNNCGAUAAGAUCUUCGUAGAAUAUGUAGGAUCCAAUAUGGACAUCUAGGUCCCGCUAUUGGAUAUUGAUUGGAGAGUGUCUCGGUCAUGUCUACAUAGUUCUCGAACCCGCAGGGUGUACACACUUAAGGUUAGGUGACGUUUUCGGUAUAGGUGAAUUAUUGAUGUUGGUAACUGAAUAUUGUUCAGAGUCCCGGAUGAGAUCCGUGACGUCACGAGUGUCUCCGAAAUGGUCCAGAAACAAAGAUUGAUAUAGACGAUUGUUGCAUUUGGCUUCCGAAAAUAUUUCGGGAACUACAGGUAAAGUAUCGAGAGUGACAAAUGGGUUCUAGGGUUUUACCGGAAGGGGCCACCCACCCGAGAGAGGACCUAACAGGCCCAUGGUUAGUGCACCAAACUUUAGUGGGCUGGUGAGGCCAGUCCAAUAAGCCUAUUUCGGCCAAUGCAAAAAUAAAGAGGGAAAAAAGAAGGAAGGAGGUGGACAAGAUGGGAAGGAGUCCUCCACCAAACCGAAUUGGAGGAGGACUCCUCCCUCGUUGCCUCAGCCGAAGCCUCCUCCUUGGAGUACGAGGCAAGCCACCCUCACCUUGGUUCCUCCUAUAUAUAGUGGAGGUUUGAGAGGGUUUUGGAACUUCAAGCCUUUGUGCAGCCCUCUCUCCCUGCACUACUUCGUGACACCUCAUAGAUAGAUCGUUACGGCACGACAAAUCCCUGCCGGAGUAGAUUCACCAUCAUCACCGCCACACCGUCGUGUUGCCGAAGAAUUCAGCUACCUCUACAUCUCUCUUGCUGGAUCAAGAAGGCGGAGAGCGUCAUCGAGCUGGACGUGUGCUGAACACGGAGGUGUCGUCCGUUCGGCGCUAGAUCGGGACGAAUCAUGGGAUGGUGGCGAUUUGGAUCGCGAAAACGUUCCACUACAUCAACCGCGUUUCUUAGUGCUCCCCGCUUAGCGAUAUACAAGGGUAUGUGGAUAUGAUAUCCCUCUCAUAGAUGAUCAUCACCAUGAUAGGUCUUUGAGUGCGUUGGGAAAUUUUGUUUCCCAUGCAACGUUCCCCAAUAGUGGCAUCACGAGCUAGGUUCAUGCGUAGAUGAUAUCUCGAGUAGAACACAAAAGAGUUUGUGGGCGUUGAUAUUCAAUUUGUUGCCCUCCUUAGUAUUUUCUUGAUCCAACGACAUUGUUGGAUUGAAGCGGCCCGGACCAACUUUACUCAUACGCUUAUGAGAGACCAGUUUCAUCGACUUACAUGCAACUUGUUGCAUAAAGAUGACUGGCGGGUGUGUGCUUCUUCAACGUUAGUUGAAUCGGAUUUGACCGAGGCGGUCCUUGGAGAAGGUUUAAUAGCAAUUCGCAUAUCACCGCUGUGGCUUUGCGUAAGUAAGAUGCGAUCAUACUAGAUACCCAUAGGAGCCAUGUAAAACAUGCAACAACAAAUUAGAGGAUGUCUAACUUGUUUUUGCAGNNNNNNNNNNNNNNNNNNNNNNNNNNNNNNNNNNNNNNNNNNNNNNNNNNNNNNNNNNNNNNNNNNNNNNNNNNNNNNNNNNNNNNNNNNNNNNNNNNNNCAGAACACUCGGGUUAAACUUGACGAGCCUAGCUAGCAUGUACAUACAUGGCCUUGAAACACAAGAGACCAAAAGGUAGAGCAUGAAUCAUAUAGUUGAUAUGAUCAACAUGCAGAUGUUCACCACUGAAACUAUACUCAACUCACGUGAUGAUCGGACUUGAGUUAGUGAAUUUUGAUCAUGCGACACUCAAAUGACUAGAGGGAUGUCUAUUUGAGUAGGAGUUUAUUAGUAAUAUGAUUAGCUAAACUCAAUUGUAUUGAACAUAGUCUAAGUAAUCUUUGCAAAAUUUUAUGUUGUAUAUCAAUGGGUCGCACAGUAGCAACCCUGAAUUUUAAUACGUUCCUAGAGAAAGCUAAGCUGAAAGAUGAUGGAAGCAACUUUGUUGACUGGGCUCGAAAUUUGAGGCUUAUCCUCAAGCUGGCCAAAAGCAAUAUGUGCUUGAUGCCGCGCUAGGUGAUGCACCACCCACUACGGCAACCCAAGAUGUUUUGAACGCUUGGCAAGUGUGUAAGGAUGACUACUCACUAGUUCAGUGUGUAGUUUUGUAUGGCUUAGAACCGGGACUUCAAAGACGUUUUGAACGUCAAGGAGCAUAUGAGAUGUUCCAGGAGUUGAAGUUUAUCUUUGAGAAGAAUGCCCGGAUCGAGAGGUAUGAGACCUCCGAUAAGUUAUAUGCUUGCAAAAUGGAGGAGAAUUCAUCUGUCCGUGAACACAUGCUCAUAAUGUCUGGGUACUCUAACCGACUAUGUGAACCGGGGAUUGAACUCUCGUAAGAAGCUAGCACUCAUCGAAUUCUUCAGUCACUGCCACCUAGCUAUAAGAGCUUCGUGUUGAACUAUAACACACAAGGGAUGAGUAAUUCACCCGACGAGUUAUUUGCGAUGCUGAAAGUCACUGAGUCACAAAUCCGGAAAGAACAUCAAGUGUUGAUGGUCAAUCAGACCAGUAGUUUCAAGAAAAACGGCAAAGGCAAGAAGGGUAACUCCAAGAAGAGUGGCAAAGCUGUUGCCCCUCCGACGAAGAAACCCAAGGCUGGACCUAAGCUAAAAACUGUGUGCUAUUAUUGCAAGCAGACCGGUCACUAGAAGUGCAACUGCCCCAAGUAUCUAGCCGAUAAGAAGGCGGCUAACACCAAACAAGGUAUAUUUGAUAUACAUGGUAUUGAUGUGUACCUCACCAACUCUCGUAGUAGUGCCUGCGUAUUUGAUACCGGUUCUGUUGCUCACAUUUGCAACUCGAAAUAGGAACUGCUGAAUAAACGAAGGCUAGCGAAGGAUGAAAUGACAAUGUGCGUGGGAAAUGGUUCCAAGGUUGAUGCGAUCGCCGUCGGCACGGUCUCAAUUCAAUUACCAUCGGGAUUAGUGAUGAACUUAAAUAAUUGUUAUUUAGUGCCUGCGUUGAGCAUGAACAUUAUAUCUGGAUCUUGUUUAUUGCGAGACGAUUACCCAUUUAAGUCAGAGAAUAAUGGUUGUUCUAUUUAUAUGAGUAAUAUAUUUUAUUGUCAUGCACCCAAUGUAAGGGUUUGUUCGUAACAUUGAGACAAAAAGAUGUAGAGUUAACAAUGAUAGUGCCACUUUCUUGUGGCACUGCCGCUUUGGUCAUAUUGGUGUCAAGCGCAGGAAGAAACUCCAUGCUGAUGGACUUUCGGAGUCACUUGAUUUUGAAUCACUUGACACAUGCGAACCAUGUCUCAUAUGCAAGAUGACUAAGACUCCGUUCUCUGGAACAAUGCAGCGUUCAAGUGACUUGUGGGAGAUCAUACAUACUGAUCUGUGCGGACCAAUGAGCAUAGAGGCGCGCAGCGGAAUCGUUAUUUUCUCACCUUCACUCACGAUUUGAGUAGGUAUGGCUAUAUCUACUUGAUGAAGCACAGCUCUGAAACGUUUGAAAAGUUCCAACAAUUUCAGAGUGAAGUUGAAAAUCAUCGUAGCAAGAAGAUCAAGUUCCUACGAUCUGAUUGAGGAGGUGAAUAUGUGAGUUACGAGUUUGGUGCCCACUUAAGACAAUGUGGAAUUGUUUCACAGUUAACACCACCUGGCACACCACAGCGUAAUUGUGUGUCCGAACGUCGUAAUCGUACUUUAUUGUAUAUGAUGCGUUCUAUGAUGUCUCUUACCGAUUUGCCAUUAUCAUUUUGGGGCUGUGCAUUGGAGAUAGAUGCAUUCACUUUAAAUAGGGCACCAUCAAAAUCUGUUGAGAUGACGCCAUAUGAGCUGUGGUAUGGCAAGAAGCCAAAGUUGUCAUUUCUUAAAGUUUGAGAAUGUGAUGCUUAUGUCAAAAAGCUUCAGCCUAAANNNNNNNNNNNNNNNNNNNNNNNNNNNNNNNNNNNNNNNNNNNNNNNNNNNNNNNNNNNNNNNNNNNNNNNNNNNNNNNNNNNNNNNNNNNNNNNNNNNNUGACAUAUUGCUGAUUGGAAACAAUAUAGAGUUUUUGUAAACGUAAAGGCUUACUUGAAUAAAAGUUUUUCAUUGAAAGAUCUAGGAGAAGCUUUUUACAUAUUGGGCAUAAAGAUCUAUAGAGAUAGGUCAAGGAGCCUAAUAGCUCUUUCAUAAAUCACAUACCUUGAUAAAGUUUUGAAGAAGUUCAAAAUGGAACAAUCCAAGAAGGGGUUCUUGCCUGUGUUACAAGGUAUAAAGUUGAGUAAGACUCAAUGUCAAGUAACUGCAGAAGAUAGAGAAAAGAUGAGUGUCGUCCCUUAUGCUUCAGCCAUAGGGUCUAUCAUGUAUGCAAUGUUGUGCACAAGACCGGAUGUCAGCCUAGACAUAAGUAUGACAGGCAGGUUUCAAAGUGAUCCAGGAGUGGAACACUGGGAGGCGGUCAAGAAUAUUCUGAAGUACCUGAAAAGGACUAAGGAAAUGUUUCUCGUUUAUGGAGGUGACAAAGAGCUCGUCGUAAAGGGUUACGUCGAUGCAAGCUUUGACACUGAUCCGGAUGACUCUAAGUCUCAAACUGGAUACGUAUUUAUUCUUAACGGGGGUGUGGGAAGCUGGUGAAGUUCCAAGCAAAGCGUCGUAGCUGAUUCUGCAUGCGAAGUGGAGUACAUAGCUGCCUCAGAGGCGGCUAAGGAGGGUGUCUCGAUGAAGCAGUUCAUGUCGCAUCUUGGAGUAGUGCCCAGUACACUGGAACCAAUCAAUCUGUUCUAUGACAAAACUCGUGCCAUUGCUCUAGCCAAGGAACCAAGGUUUCACAAGAGGACCAUACACAUAAAGCGAUUCUUCAAUGCCAUCUGCGAUUACAUCAAGGAGGAGGACAUAAAUAUUUUCAAAGUGCAGACAGAUCAGAAUGUUGCAGAUCCGCUGACUAAACCUCUUCCACGAACAAAGCAUGAUAAACACCAGAACUGUAUGGGUGUUAGAUACAUUACAUUCUAAAUCACAUAGAGAUGUGAAGCUAGAUUAUUGACUCUAGUUCAAGUGGGAGACUAUUGGAAAUAUGCCCUUGAAACAAUAAUAAAAUAGUUAUUAUUAUAUUUCCUAUUUCAAGAUAAUCGUUUAUUGUGCAUGCUAUAAUUGUAUUGAAUGGAAACAUAAAUGCAUGUGUGGAUAUAUAGACAAAACAAUGUCCCUAGUGAGCCUCUAGUUGAAUAGCCUAUUGGUCAAGGAUGGUUAAGGUUUCCUAGCCAUAGACAAGUUUUCUCACUUGAUGACGAGAUCACAUCAUUAGGAGAAUGAUGUGAUGGACAAGACCCAAACUAUAAACGUAGCAUAUGAUCAUGUCAUUUUGUUGCUAUUGUUUUCAGCAUGUCAAGUAUACAUUCCUAUGACCAUGAGAUCAUGUAACUCACUAACACCGGAGGAAUGCCUUGUGUGUAUCAAACGUUGCAACAUUACUUGGUAAAGGUACUCUACAAGCAUCUCCGAAGGUGUGUGCUGCGUUAUCAAGGAUCAAGACUGGGAUUUGUCACUACUUGUGACGAGGAGGUAUCUCAGGGCCCAGUCGGUAAUACAACAUCACAAACAAGCCUUGCAAGCAAUGUGACUAAAGAGUUAGUCACGGGAUCUUGUAUUACGGAACGAGUAAAGAGAUUUGCGGAUAACGAGACUGAAAUAGGUAUGGCGAUACCGAUGAUCGAAUCUCGGGAAAGUAACAUACCGAAGGACAAAGGGAAUGAUAUACGUGAUUGUGUGAAUCCUUGACAUAGAGGUUUAGCCGAUAAGAUCUUCUUAUAAUAUGUGGGAUCCAAUAUGGACGUCUAGUUACUGCUAUUGGAUAUUGACCGGAGAGUGUCUCAGUCAUGUCUACAUAGUUCUCGAACCCGCAGGAUCUGCACACUUAAGGUUAGGUGACGUUUUCGGUAUAGUUGAAUUAUUGAUGUUGGUAACUGAAUGUUGUUUGGAGUCCCGGAUGAGAUCCCAGAUGUCACGAGUGUCUCCAAAAUGGUCCAGAAAUGAAGAUUGAUAUAUAGGAUUGUUGCAUUUGGCUUCCGGAAAGAUUUCGGGCANNNNNNNNNNNNNNNNNNNNNNNNNNNNNNNNNNNNNNNNNNNNNNNNNNNNNNNNNNNNNNNNNNNNNNNNNNNNNNNNNNNNNNNNNNNNNNNNNNNNGGUAUGCUUGUGAUGUGAUAUGGCCAAAGACAUGAUAUGGUGUAUUGGAUGUAUGAGAUGAUCAUGUUGUAAUAGUUAAAUAUCGACUUGCAUGUCGAUGCUACGGCAACCGGCAGGAGCCAUAGGGUUGUUUAUAAAUUUAUUUUCCGCUUGCAGAUGCUCUCGCUAUAUUGCUAGGCAGUAGCUUUAGUAGUAAUAGCAUAGAUAGAGUGACAACCAUGAUGGUAGCACAAUGAUGGAGAUCAUGGUGUGGCACCGGUGACGAUGGAGAUCAUGCCGGUGCUUUGGUGAUGGAGAUCAAGAAGGACGAUUUCAUGGCCAUAUCAUGUCACUGAUGAUUUGCAUGUGAUGUUAAUCCUUUUAUGCACCUUAUUUUGCUUGGAACGACGGUAGCAUUAUAAGGUGAUCCCUCACUAAUAUUUCAAGAUAAAAUUGUGUUUUCCUCAACUGUGCACCAUUGAUCGGGUGUGAUGGACUCAACGUUCACAUACAACGGGUACAAAACAGUUGCACACGUAGAACACCCGGGUUAAACUUGACGAGCCUAGCUAGCAUGUACAUACAUGGCCUUGAAACACAAGAGACCAAAAGGUCGAGCGUGAAUCAUAUAGUUGAUAUGAUCAACAUGCAGAUGUUCACCACUGAAACUAUACUCAACUCACGUGAUGAUCGGACUUGAGUUAGUGAAUUAUGAUCAUGCGACACUCGAAUGACUAGAGGGAUGUCUAUUUGAGUAGGAGUUUAUUAGUAAUAUGAUUAGCUAAACUCAAUUGUAUUGAACAUAAUCUAAGUAAUCUUUGCAAAAUUUUAUGUUGUAUAUCAAUGGUCGCACAGUAGCAACCCUGAAUUUUAAUACGUUCCUAGAGAAAGCUAAGCUGAAAGAUGAUGGAAGCAACUUUGUUGACUGGGCUCAAAAUUUGAGGCUUAUCCUCCAAGCUGGCCAAAAGCAAUAUGUGCUUGAUGCUGCGCUAGGUGAUGCACCACCCACUACGGCAACCCAAGAUGUUUUAAACGCUUGGCAAGUGUGUAAGGAUGACUACUCACUAGUUCAAUGUGUAGUUUUGUAUGGCUUAGAACCGGGACUUCAAAGACGUUUUGAACGUCAAGGAGCAUAUGAGAUGUUCCAGGAGUUGAAGUUUAUCUUUGAGCAGAAUGCCCGGAUCGAGAGGUAUGAGACCUCCGAUAAGUUAUAUGCUUGCAAAAUGGAGGAGAAUUCAUCUGUCCGUGAACACAUGCUCAUAAUGUCUGGGUACUCUAACCGACUAUGUGAACCGGGGAUUGAACUCUCGUAAGAAGCUAGCACUCACCGAAUUCUUCAGUCACUGCCACCUAGCUAUAAGAGCUUCGUGUUGAACUAUAACACACAAGGGAUGAGUAAUUCACCCGACGAGUUAUUUGCGAUGCUGAAAGUCACUGAGUCACAAAUCCGGAAAGAACAUCAAGUGUUGAUGGUCAAUCAGACCAGUAGUUUCAAGAAAAACGGCAAAGGCAAGAAGGGUAACUCCAAGAAGAGUGGCAAAGCUGUUGCCCCUCCGACGAAGAAACCCAAGGCUGGACCUAAGCUAAAAACUGUGUGCUAUUAUUGCAAGCAGACCGGUCACUAGAAGUGCAACUGCCCCAAGUAUCUAGCCGAUAAGAAGGCGGCUAACGCCAAACAAGGUAUAUUUGAUAUACAUGGUAUUGAUGUGUACCUCACCAACUCUCGUAGUAGUGCCUGCGUAUUUGAUACCGGUUCUGUUGCUCACAUUUGCAACUCGAAAUAGGAACUGCUGAAUAAACGAAGGCUAGCGAAGGAUGAAGUGACGAUGCGCGUGGGAAAUGGUUCCAAGGUUGAUGAUCGCCGUCGGCACGGUCUCAAUUCAAUUACCAUCGGGAUUAGUGAUGAACUUAAAUAAUUGUUAUUUAGUGCCUGCGUUGAGCAUGAACAUUAUAUCUGGAUCUUGUUUAUUGCGAGACGAUUACCCAUUUAAGUCAGAGAAUAAUGGUUGUUCUAUUUAUAUGANNNNNNNNNNNNNNNNNNNNNNNNNNNNNNNNNNNNNNNNNNNNNNNNNNNNNNNNNNNNNNNNNNNNNNNNNNNNNNNNNNNNNNNNNNNNNNNNNNNNCCACACCCUUGUUGUUGAGAAUCCUUGGAUUUUCCCUGGUAGACCAUUGUUGCCAGACCAGUGAGGGCACAUUCUCUAAACUCCUCCAAGGUGGAGGAGAGUAUUUCCCCCUUUAUGGGGAUAUUUCCUCCGAGUCCCAUCACUCAUGUCUUAUUGACACCACGUAAGUGUACGUUAGUCCAGCAUCAUAUUUUCAUGAUGCUAUAUGAGUGACCGUGUGCUAUAUGAUUGUCUUGAUUGCACGUGCAUAUGAGUGACCUUGUUCCAUAUUUUCACCCCAUCUUUAUUUUUUUUCCUAAGGAAAUCUUGGGGACAAGAUUUAUUUUUAAGGGGGGUAGUGUUUGUGACGCCCCAAAAAUUUAACCAUAUUUGUACUAAUUAAAAUAUUGCCUCAAACAAAACUUUUGAAAAUGAAUUACUUCUUUGCUUAUUUGAGAACAUCUUCUCUAAAACUUUUCCCUCCAAGUAGACUUUUGAAAAGCAUUAUCGAUUUGUGUAUUGGUAUAAAUUCAUUCUAUUUCAUUUUUGGGGGGGGGGNNNNNNNNNNNNNNNNNNNNNNNNNNNNNNNNNNNNNNNNNNNNNNNNNNNNNNNNNNNNNNNNNNNNNNNNNNNNNNNNNNNNNNNNNNNNNNNNNNNNUUAGUUCAUGAUAAUCGUUUAUUAUCCAUGCUAUAAUUGUAUUGAUUGGAAACACAAUACUUGUGUGGAUACAUAGACAAAACACUGUCCCUAGUAAGCCUCUAGUUGACCAGCUCGUUGAUCAAGGAUGGUCAAGGUUUCUUGGCCAUAGGCAAGUGUUGUCACUUGAUAACGGGAUCACAUCAUUAGGAGAAUCAUGUGAUGGACUAGACCCAAACUAAUAGACAUAGCAUGUUGAUCGUGUCAUUUUGUUGCUACUGUUUUCUGCNNNNNNNNNNNNNNNNNNNNNNNNNNNNNNNNNNNNNNNNNNNNNNNNNNNNNNNNNNNNNNNNNNNNNNNNNNNNNNNNNNNNNNNNNNNNNNNNNNNNNNNNNNNNNNNNNNNNNNNNNNNNNNNNNNNNNNNNNNNNNNNNNNNNNNNNNNNNNNNNNNNNNNNNNNNNNNNNNNNNNNNNNNNNNNNNNNNNNNNNNNNNNNNNNNNNNNNNNNNNNNNNNNNNNNNNNNNNGUAACUGGGUGACUAUAAAGAUGCUCUACAGGUAUCUCCGAAGGUGUUCGUUGAGUUAGUAUGGAUCGAGACUGGGAUUUGUCACUCCGUGUGACGGAGAGGUAUCUCGGGGCCCACUCGGUAAUACAACAUCACACACAAGCCUUGCAAGCAAUGUGACUUAGUGUAAGUUGCGGGAUCUUGUAUUACGGAACGAGUAAAGAGACUUGCCGGUAAACGAGAUUGAAAUAGGUAUGCGGAUACUGACGAUCGAAUCUCGGGCAAGUAACAUACCGAAGGACAAAGGGAAUGACAUACGGGAUUAUAUGAAUCCUUGGCACUGAGGUUCAACCGAUAAAGAUCUUCGGAAUAUGUAGGAUCCAAUAUGGGCAUCCAGGUCCCGCUAUUGGAUAUUGACCGAGGAGUCCCUCGGGUCAUGUCUACAUAGUUCUCGAACCCGCAGGGUCUGCACACUUAAGGUUCGACGUUGUUUUAUGUGUAUUUGAGUUAUAUGGUUGGUUACCGAAUGUUGUUCGGAGUCCCGGAUGAGAUCACGGACGUCAUGAGGGUUUCCGGAAUGGUCCGGAAACGAAGAUUGAUAUAUAGGAUGACCUCAUUUGGUUACCGGAAGGUUUUUGUGCAUUACCGGAAAAGUUUCGGGCUCAUCGGUAGUGUACUGGGAGUGCCGGGAGGGGUGCCGGGGACCAUCAGGAGGGGUGUCACGCCCCAAGGGGUCUCAUGGGCUAUGGUAAGAGAUAAACCAGCCCCUAGUGGGCUGGAAUAAGUUCCCACUAAGGCCCAUAAGGUUUGAGAAGGAAAAAACACAAGGUGGAAAGAGUUUCCAUGUGGGAAGGUGGAAUCCUACUCCAAGUAGGAUUGGAGUAGGACUCCUCCACCUCCAAUUUUGGCCAAACCUUUAGGUUUUGAGGCUGCCCCCUCCCCUCCCUCCCUCCUAUAUAUACUGAGGUAUUAGGGCUGAUUUGAGACAACUUUUGCCACGGCGGCCCGACCACAUACCUCCACGGUUCUACCUCUAGAUCGCGUUUCUGCGGAGCUCGGGCGGAGCCCUGCUGAGAUUAGAUCACCACCAACCUCCGGAGCGCCGUCACGCUGCCGGAGAACUCAUCUACCUCUCCAUCUCUCUUGUUGGAUCAAGAAGGCCGAGAUCAUCGUCGAGCUGUACGUGUGCUGAACGCGGAGGUGCCGUCCGUUCGGCACUAGAUCGUGGGACUGUUCGCGGGAUGGUUCGCGGGGCGGAUCGAGGGACGUGAGGACGUUCCACUACAUCAACCGCGUUCACUAACGCUUCCGCUGUGUGAUCUACAAGGGUACGUAGAUCGGAAAUCCCCUCUCGUAGAUGAACAUCACCAUGAUAGGUCUUCGUGCGCGUAGGAAAAUUUUUGUUUCCCAUGCGACGUUCCCCAACAGUGGCAUCAUGAGCUAGGUUCAUGCGUAGAUGUCUUCUCGAGUUGAACACAAAAGUUUUUGUGGCCGGUGAUGUGCGUUUUUCUGCCCUCCUUAGUCUUUUCUUGAUUCUGCGGUAUUGUUGGAUCGAAGCGGCUCGAACCGACAUUACUCGUACGCUUACGAGAGACUGGUUUCAUCGCUACGAGUAACUCCGUUGCUCAAAGAUGACUGGUGGGUGUCAGUUUCUCCAACUUUAGUUGAAUCGGAUUUGACCGAGGAGGUCCUUGGAUGAGGUUAAAUAGCAACUCAUAUAUCUCCGUUGUGGUGUUUUCGUAAGUAAGAUGCGAUCCUACUAGAUACCCAUGGUCACCACGUAAAACAUGCAACAACAAAAUUAGAGGACGUCUAACUUGUUUUUGCAGGGUAUGCUUGUGAUGCGAUAUGGCCAACGAUGUGAUGUGAUAUAUUGGAUGUAUGAGAUGAUCAUGUUGUAAUAGUUAAUAUUGACUUUCACGUCGAUGGUACGGCAACCGGCAGGAGCCAUAGGGUUGUCUUUAAACUAACGUUUGUGCUUGCAGAUGCGUUUACUAUAUUUCUAGGACGUAGCUUUAGUAGUAAUAGCAUGAGUAGCAUGACAACCCCGAUGGAGACACGUUGAUGGAGAUCAUGAUGAUGGAGAUCAUGGUGUGACGCCGGUGACAAGAAGAUCGUGCCGGUGCUUUGGUGAUGGAGAUCAAGAAGCACAUGAUGAUGGCCAUAUCAUGUCACUUAUGAAUUGCAUGUGAUGUUAAUCCUUUAUGCACCUUAUCUUGCUUAGAACGACGGUAGCAUUAUGAGGUGAUCUCNNNNNNNNNNNNNNNNNNNNNNNNNNNNNNNNNNNNNNNNNNNNNNNNNNNNNNNNNNNNNNNNNNNNNNNNNNNNNNNNNNNNNNNNNNNNNNNNNNNNGCAGGGUCUGCACACUUUAGGUUCGACGUUGUUUUAUGCGUAUUUGAGUUAUAUGGUUGGUUACAGAAUGUUGUUCGGAGCCCCGGAUGAGAUCACGGACGUCACGAGGGUUUCCGGAAUGGUCCGGAAACGAAGAUUGAUAUAUAGGAUGACCUCAUUUGGUUACCGGAAGGUUUUCGUGCAUUACCGGAAAAGUUUCGGGCUCAUCGGUAGUGUACUGGGAGUGCCGGGAGGGGUGCCGGGGACCAUCAGGAGGGGUGUCACGCCCCAAGGGGUCUCAUGGGCUAUGGUAAGAGAUAAACCAGCCCCUAGUGGGCUGGAAUAAGUUCCCACUAAGGCCCAUAAGGUUUGAGAAAGAAAAAACACAAGGUGGAAAGAGUUUCCAAGUGGGAAGGUGGAAUCCUACUCCAAGUAGGAUUGGAGUAGGACUCCUCCACCUCCAAUUUCGGCCAAACCUUUAGAUUUUGAGGCUGCCCCCUCCCCUCCCUCCCUCCUAUAUAUACUGAGGUAUUAGGGCUGAUUUGAGACAACUUUUGCCACGGCGGGCCGACCACAUACCUCCACGGUUCUACCUCUAGAUCGCGUUUCUGCGAAGCUCGGGCGGAGCCCUGCUGAGAUUAGAUCACCACCAACCUCCGGAGCGCCGUCACGCUGCCGGAGAACUCAUCUACCUCUCCGUAUCUCUUGUUGGAUCAAGAAGGCCGAGAUCAUCGUCGAGCUGUACGUGUGCUGAACGCGGAGGUGCCGUCCGUUCAGCACUAGAUCGUGGGACUGUUCGCGGGACGGUUCGCGGGGCGGAUCGAGGGACGUGAGGACGUUCCACUACAUNNNNNNNNNNNNNNNNNNNNNNNNNNNNNNNNNNNNNNNNNNNNNNNNNNNNNNNNNNNNNNNNNNNNNNNNNNNNNNNNNNNNNNNNNNNNNNNNNNNNUAAAAACCUUUGUGUUCUUGAGAGUGAGAGUGAGGCGAGCCCACCUCGGCCUCACCCUUCUCUCCCGCCCAGCCGCAACAGCCCAGCAGCCCGACCUACGGUAGCUCGCAGCCCCGCAGCCCACCAGCCCGCUAGCGACAGGAGCUUCAUUCUCCUUUCCACGACACCCCAUCCAGAAGAGCCACGACAGCCAUGCCUUGAUUUGAUGGACUCAGCUCGCCCUAGCUGCCUAUAUAGGUUUCCUGGUGCCCUAGGUCCUCCCCACAACCCAUUCCUCCCUUCUCCUUGCCUUGCCGCCACUGGUAGGUCUUCUCCAAGCAUCGCCAUCGCCCUACUCGCCAUGAAUCGACCGAGCUUCUUCUCGAGCCCGGUGUAGUUCAUCGCUGCCACGUCCGGCCCUCCUGUCACCAUGGAUUGAACCACAGAGGCAGGCCCUUCGUCCCCGAGAACAAGCCGCGGCCUGCAGCCCCUGGAGCGCCCUCCCCUUGCCGUCUUCCUCCUCUGCGUUUCGGGUUGAGGAGCGCGCCGGAGUUCGCCGACAUGUAGCACCGUCUUCAUCACGCCCCAUCCAUCUUCUUCGUGUCGUUGGUAAGGAAGGCAUUCUCUAUGUUCCAUUCAGUCCUUCCCCGCCUCCGUUCAUGUCGCGCAGGUGCCAAAUCAUUCGUGCCAAGAUCGUGCUCUCCGUGCUCGGGCUGAAGCUGCCAUUUUUUUGUUCUCGCGUGUAUGUGUGUGGUGCGUAGUUCCAAAUUAGCCCGCGUGCACUGUGCCUUGCUUCCCUAGUGGUCUCACCGCCAUUUUGUGGUAGCCGCCACUUGCCGCAUCGCCUCGCUUGCCGCUGCCGCUAGCCCGUGCCGCGGCCAUGCCCGAGCUCGAUCUCGAGCUCGAGGUCCUUGCCGUGUGGGCCUCUCGCCCCACUUCUCAUCCUCAAGGGGCCCUGGUGUCAUUGCCAGUGGGACUCUCUGUUUUAUUUUUAUUAUUUAUGUUUAUUUUAUCUCUUUAUUCCAUUUUUGGAAGAUUCCAAAUAGGGAAUUGUCCAAAUGUGGAUCUGUCCAAAUCUGGAAUAUGCCAAAUCUGGCAUAUAAUUUAUUACACCUAGUUUGUGAAAAUUUCGUUUUAGUUUUGUGUGUGAAUUUCCUAUAGAAAUAUAUGAGUAUGAUAUAUGAAAUUGGGGUAGAAUUUUCUUGUGAAUAAAAUGGUGGUAUUAGUUUUGUCUUUUGGGAAAGUUUGCAGAAAUGUUAUUUUUUGAUGAGGUGGAAUUUUGUGAAUUUUGUGUGGUUUAAUUCCUGCAUGCUAUGAUGAACUUGUCAACAUGGAAGUGCUAGUGUUUUGUGGGCACUAGGCGCUGCUAUUUUCCUUUGCUAGGAUAAGCUAGUAGUUUAGUAUAUUUCUUGUUGUAAAGUAACUAAGAAAAUGUUGCUGGUUUCACAUGCUAAAUAUUUCUAAGUGUUGAAAUCAGUUAUUUUCUUACCACAUUGUGUUCAUGAUUCCCAUGAAUACAUUACUCCUUUGUGUUUGUUCAAAUGCCAUGAAUUGUUGUGCCUGUUAACCUCUAUCAAANNNNNNNNNNNNNNNNNNNNNNNNNNNNNNNNNNNNNNNNNNNNNNNNNNNNNNNNNNNNNNNNNNNNNNNNNNNNNNNNNNNNNNNNNNNNNNNNNNNNCCACACCCUUGUUGUUGAGAAUCCUUGGAUUUUCCCUGGUAGACCAUUGUUGCCAGACCAGUGAGGGCACAUUCUCUAAACUCCUCCAAGGUGGAGGAGAGUAUUUCCCCCUUUAUGGGGAUAUUUCCUCCGAGUCCCAUCACUCAUGUCUUAUUGACACCACGUAAGUGUACGUUAGUCCAGCAUCAUAUUUUCAUGAUGCUAUAUGAGUGACCGUGUGCUAUAUGAUUGUCUUGAUUGCACGUGCAUAUGAGUGACCUUGUUCCAUAUUUUCACCCCGUCUUUAUUUUUUUUCCUAAGGAAAUCUUGGGGACAAGAUUUAUUUUUAAGGGGGGUAGUGUUUGUGACGCCCCAAAAAUUUAACCAUAUUUGUACUAAUUAAAAUAUUGCCUCAAACAAAACUUUUGAAAAUGAAUUACUUCUUUGCUUAUUUGAGAACAUCUUCUCUAAAACUUUUCCCUCCAAGUAGACUUUUGAAAAGCAUUAUCGAUUUGUGUAUUGGUAUAAAUUCAUUCUAUUUCAUUUUUAUAAAAAAAUGUGAAUUUAAAAUCUUUUAAAGGAUUUUUCAUCNNNNNNNNNNNNNNNNNNNNNNNNNNNNNNNNNNNNNNNNNNNNNNNNNNNNNNNNNNNNNNNNNNNNNNNNNNNNNNNNNNNNNNNNNNNNNNNNNNNNGAACACAAAGGUUUUUAUUUUUUAUAAAACCACGUAUUUUUCCCUAAAUCAUACAGAAAAAUAGAGGAGGUUUUUGGGGAGAAAUAAAAUAUGUCUGAACUCACAAAAUAAACCCUAUUUGAAAAAUUGACUUUGGCAUAUUUAGAGCAAUAAAAUAAAACCCAUAUUUUAAUUAUAACAAUAUGUUUUUGCAAAGAUGUCAAAGCAAAAUACUUCAACAUGGUUAGAACUAAUUUUUAUGAGCAUAACAGAAUAUUUAUGGAAGUGCAACAUUUAUUAUAUGUACUAGGGCAAGUAAAAAUCACCGCAUUUGCAUUAUUAGAGAAGAGAGGUGGCAUAAUUUUUUAUGGAAGUUGAAGAGAGGGGUUUUAAUCAAAGAAUAUUACUAGUUUGCAAGCAGUCAUACCACACACACACUCAUAACAACAUCACCACAUAAAACAAGCAUGAGGCAAAACAUGAAUUAUGACAUGAUGAUUAUGAUGCCAUGAUGCAACAUCCCAUGAAGAAAAAUUAUUGUAACUCAAACCACAUAAUGGCAAUAAGAAGGUUCACACAUGACACAUUACAAAUAAAGGACGGGGUGCAGUUGGGCUGUUACAACUCUCCCACACUACAAGAGGAUCUCGACCCGAAAUCUAGCGCUGAAAGAACUCUGGAUAUUCGGAACAGAGAAAGUCAUCACGUUCCCAAGUGGCUGCUUUAUCGAAAUGGUGUGACCAUUUAAAUUUGAGGAACUUGGUAGACUUGUUUCGAGUCUUACGCUCGGUCUCUUUGAGAAUGGCAAUNNNNNNNNNNNNNNNNNNNNNNNNNNNNNNNNNNNNNNNNNNNNNNNNNNNNNNNNNNNNNNNNNNNNNNNNNNNNNNNNNNNNNNNNNNNNNNNNNNNNUCUUUGAAGAUUAAUUGAAACAUGAUGAUGAUCAUGAAGUGGGAUAUAACCAUAAUUAUUAUGAAUUUUUUUGUGGACUAAUCAUUUCUGGUAUAUGAAUUUUUGAGUAUCCCUGGGACGGUUCUACCUCCUCGAUACUCGAUUUUAUUAUUAUCAUAUAAUCCCUUUUUGUGGUGUCGCUUAGACGCCCGACUGUGGCAACUGCUAUUAUUAUCAUAUAAGCCCUUUAUGUGGUGUCGCUUAGUCGCCCGAGUGUGGCAACUGUUAUUACUUUUAUAUUAGCCUUUUUUGUGGUGCCUCUCAGACACCGGACUAUAGCACAAAUACUAUUACUUAUUCAUCGUUAUUACAUUCUUAUAAGCCCUUUUUGUGGUGUCUCUCCAGACGCCCAACUGCGGCACACAUAUUAAUAUUUAAUUAUAAUACAAUUUUGCAGUGUCGCCCCAGACACCCGACUAUGGCAUUACUUUAUUUAUGCUAAUAUAAGUCCCUUUAUGUGGCGUCGCUUAGACACGUGACUGUGGCUUAUAUUGCUUGUCCUUUUGAGGUGUCGCCUGAGAGGCCCAAUCGACAAAUUGAAAUUGAUUGUUACUCUCUACCUUGUUUGCUUAUACAUCACGAGUAGGAAUGAUUUAUCUGCAUGACUGCAUCCGUGAAUUAAAUCCUAUGGCAUUUGAGGUGGUAUUAAAUUUUUUGUGCAUGCAUCUCACCUGCUUUAACUUAUAUUUUUUCAUGAUGUUUGCGAGUACAUUCAAAGUACUCAAUGGCUUGUCCCCGACCAUUGUCUUGGCCAGAUUUCAUAUUUGGAGAGGAACACGAUGAUAUCAAUCCCAGAACCUAGGAGUUUGGGAUCGCAGGCUUGCGAGAUAGGAGGUAUCCAGGUAAGCUAUUCGUGUGGAAAUGGAAUCCCAUGGACGUUGGAGAUCCGCGAGUCUCUUCCGUCGUCAGCGUUCAGACCUUUUGUUCAACCCCAUGGACCUUCAUGGUCUUGUAACCCAAAUUUUGUAUUUUCUUGGAAUUUCUAUAUCAAGUGGGCGUCCACCAGCUAACAGUAAUCAUUGGGCUGGUGAACACAAGGCUUGUUUUCUAGGAAUUAUAUAUUCUGGAAAACCGGUCGCUACAACCUUGGUAUUAGAGCCAGGCUGACCAUUGGCUAAUCAUAUCUUAGCCAUGUCUCUAUUCCUAGCCCGGGUAUUUAUAUAACCACCACCCAGCCUAGCCUAUGCAAUAGCCAACCACAACGGCCAUCCGACCCUUUGUGGCAGUCGGUGCCCAACCUGGUAGCUAGCCCAUAGGCCACGUGUGUGUGACUGACACAGGAGAUGUGGCAUCCCCUAGCAUGCGACGGAAGAAUCCCUUAACCUAUAAAGGAAAGCAUUUCCUCAACCCAGCAACCCGCAACCUUGAGCCCCACCACAAUAACCCCAAACCAACAAGAUGCCUAGCCAUGUUAUUUUCAACGAGACAACUUCAUCUGAGCCGGUAGACUUCGUAGCCGACCUCACCCGCCAAAUUUUUGGCAUAGAAGAGCCCCAAUGUAUGUUGUGCAUGAGGAACCUGCGAGUGAUGNNNNNNNNNNNNNNNNNNNNNNNNNNNNNNNNNNNNNNNNNNNNNNNNNNNNNNNNNNNNNNNNNNNNNNNNNNNNNNNNNNNNNNNNNNNNNNNNNNNNCUAAUAUUAUAUGUGGAUGACAUAUUGCUGAUUGGAAACAAUAUAGAGUUUUUGUAAACGUAAAGGCUUACUUGAAUAAAAGUUUUUCAUUGAAAGAUCUAGGAGAAGCUUUUUACAUAUUGGGCAUAAAGAUCUAUAGAGAUAGGUCAAGGAGCCUAAUAGCUCUUUCAUAAAUCACAUACCUUGAUAAAGUUUUGAAGAAGUUCAAAAUGGAACAAUCCAAGAAGGGGUUCUUGCCUGUGUUACAAGGUAUAAAGUUGAGUAAGACUCAAUGUCAAGUAACUGCAGAAGAUAGAGAAAAGAUGAGUGUCGUCCCUUAUGCUUCAGCCAUAGGGUCUAUCAUGUAUGCAAUGUUGUGCACAAGACCGGAUGUCAGCCUAGACAUAAGUAUGACAGGCAGGUUUCAAAGUGAUCCAGGAGUGGAACACUGGGAGGCGGUCAAGAAUAUUCUGAAGUACCUGAAAAGGACUAAGGAAAUGUUUCUCGUUUAUGGAGGUGACAAAGAGCUCGUCGUAAAGGGUUACGUCGAUGCAAGCUUUGACACUGAUCCGGAUGACUCUAAGUCUCAAACUGGAUACGUAUUUAUUCUUAACGGGGGUGUGGGAAGCUGGUGAAGUUCCAAGCAAAGCGUCGUAGCUGAUUCUGCAUGCGAAGUGGAGUACAUAGCUGCCUCAGAGGCGGCUAAGGAGGGUGUCUGGAUGAAGCAGGUCACAUCGCAUCUUGGAGUAAUGUCAAGUACACUGGAACCAAUCAAUCUGUUCUAUGACAAAACUCGUGCCAUUGCUCUAGCCAAGGAACCAAGGUUUCACAAGAGGACCAUACACAUAAAGCGAUUCUUCAAUGCCAUCUGCGAUUACAUCAAGGAGGAGGACAUAAAUAUUUUCAAAGUGCAGACAGAUCAGAAUGUUGCAGAUCCGCUGACUAAACCUCUUCCACGAACAAAGCAUGAUAAACACUAGAACUGUAUGGGUGUUAGAUACAUUACAUUCUAAAUCACAUAGAGAUGUGAAGCUAGAUUAUUGACUCUAGUUCAAGUGGGAGACUAUUGGAAAUAUGCCCUUGAGACAAUAAUAAAAUAGUUAUUAUUAUAUUUCCUGUUUCAAUAUAAUCGUUUAUUGUGCAUGCUAUAAUUGUAUUGAAUGGAAACAUAAAUGCAUGUGUGGAUAUAUAGACAAAACAAUGUCCCUAGUGAGCCUCUAGUUGAAUAGCCUAUUGGUCAAGGAUGGUUAAGGUUUCCUAGCCAUAGACAAGUUUUCUCACUUGAUGACGAGAUCACAUCAUUAGGAGAAUGAUGUGAUGGACAAGACCCAAACUAUAAACGUAGCAUAUGAUCAUGUCAUUUUGUUGCUAUUGUUUUCAGCAUGUCAAGUAUACAUUCCUAUGACCAUGAGAUCAUGUAACUCACUNNNNNNNNNNNNNNNNNNNNNNNNNNNNNNNNNNNNNNNNNNNNNNNNNNNNNNNNNNNNNNNNNNNNNNNNNNNNNNNNNNNNNNNNNNNNNNNNNNNNGAUCUGGUAUCUUCCGUUUAUUAGUCACGAUAUCUUUCAUGUACUUGGCAUACGGACAUAUCUUGAGUAUAUCAGUUAACCGCAUCUGCAGAAAGAUGGGUCUUAUCAUCUCAACAAAGCGCUCAAAAUCCUCAUCAUCCUUUUUCUUGGAUGGCUUAGGAGGAAAGGGUAUAGAUCUCUUAACCCAUGGCUCCCUUUCUUUACCAUGCUUCCUAGCAGUAAAGUCAUUCUUGUCGUAUCUCUUAGGUUGUGGGUUAUCAGGAUUAACCGUAGGUUCGAUCUCGACAUCCUCAUUAUUGCUAGGUUGAGCAUUAUUAUGAACAUCACUGUCCAUAUUGUCACCAGGUUCAUGUUCAUCACCAGAUUGUGUUUCUGCAUCAGACGCAGAAAUAUCAUUAGGUUCUUCAGGUGUGACAGUAAUUGGUGAACUGGCAUGUAGGUUUCUAUCAUCCUUGUUCUUCUCCUUAGGAUGACUGGGUGUAUCAGCAUUAAUUCCUUGAGAAUCUUGAUCAAUUCUCUUAGGAUGACCUUCAGGAUACAAAGGUUCCUGAGUCAUUUUGCCUCCUCUAGUAAUGACUCUGACAGAGUUGUCAUUUAAUUCAUUGAGCAGGUCAUUCUGAGCUUUAAAUACUUGUUCUACCUGAGUAGUAAUCAUAGAGGCAUGUUUACUCAGAAGCUUCAGAUCAUUGAAAUUUCUGUCUAAUCAAGCACUUGGAUGGCUAAGCAUACGAGUACUUUGUUCCAAAUGUCUGCUAACGUAAUCAUUGAAACUCUGUUGUUUGGCAACAAAGUUGUCAAAUUCAUCAAAGCAUAGGCUAGCAGUUUUGUCAAAAGGAAUAUCACUCUCAUCAAACCUACGCAGAGAAUUCACUUCUACUACUUGUAUCGGGUUAUCGAGACCAUGGAUCUCUUCGAUAGGUGGUAGAUUUUUGACAUCUUCAGAUCUAAUGCCUUUCUCUUGCAUAGAUUUCUUGGCUUCUUGCAUAUCUUCGGGACUNNNNNNNNNNNNNNNNNNNNNNNNNNNNNNNNNNNNNNNNNNNNNNNNNNNNNNNNNNNNNNNNNNNNNNNNNNNNNNNNNNNNNNNNNNNNNNNNNNNNUGCCCGAAAUCUUUCCGGAAGCCAAAUGCAACAAUCCUAUAUAUCAAUCUUCAUUUCUGGACCAUUUUGGAGACACUCGUGACAUCUGGGAUCUCAUCCGGGACUCCAAACAACAUUCAGUUACCAACAUCAAUAAUUCAACUAUACCGAAAACGUCACCUAACCUUAAGUGUGCAGAUCCUGCGGGUUCGAGAACUAUGUAGACAUGACCGAGACACUCUCCGGUCAAUAUCCAAUAGCAGUACCUAGACGUCCAUAUUGGAUCCCACAUAUUAUAAGAAGAUCUUAUCGGCUAAACCUCUAUGUCAAGGAUUCACACAAUCCCGUAUAUCAUUCCCUUUGUCCUUCGGUAUGUUACUUUCCCGAGAUUCGAUCAUCGGUAUCGCCAUACCUAUUUCAGUCUCGUUAUCCGCAAAUCUCUUUACUCGUUCCGUAAUACAAGAUCCCGUGACUAACUCUUUAGUCACAUUGCUUGCAAGGCUUGUUUGUGAUGUUGUAUUACCGACUGGGCCCUGAGAUACCUCCUCGUCACAAGUAGUGACAAAUCCCAGUCUUGAUCCUUGAUAACGCAGCACACACCUUCGGAGAUGCUUGUAGAGUACCUUUACCAAGUAAUGUUGCAACGUUUGAUACACACAAGGCAUUCCUCCGGUGUUAGUGAGUUACAUGAUCUCAUGGUCAUAGGAAUGUAUACUUGACAUGCUGAAAACAAUAGCAACAAAAUGACAUGAUCAUAUGCUACGUUUAUAGUCUGGGUCUUGCCCAUCACAUCAUUCUCCUAAUGAUGUGAUCUCGUCAUCAAGUGAGAAAACUUGUCUAUGGCUAGGAAACCUUAACCAUCCUUGACCAAUAGGCUAUUCAACUAGAGGCUCACUAGGGACAUUGUUUUGUCUAUAUAUCCACACAUGCAUUUAUGUUUCCAUUCAAUACAAUUAUAGCAUGCACAAUAAACGAUUAUCUUGAAAUAGGAAAUAUAAUAAUAACUAUUUUAUUAUUGUUUCAAGGGCAUAUUUCCAAUAGUCUCCCACUUGAACUAGAGUCAAUAAUCUAGCUUCACAUCUCUAUGUGAUUUAGAAUGUAAUGUAUCUAACACCCAUACAGUUCUGGUGUUUAUCAUGCUUUGUUCGUGGAAGAGGUUUAGUCAGCGGAUCUGCAACAUUCUGAUCUGUCUGCACUUUGAAAAUAUUUAUGUCCUCCUCCUUGAUGUAAUCGCAGAUGGCAUUGAAGAAUCGCUUUAUGUGUAUGGUCCUCUUGUGAAACCUUGGUUCCUUGGCUAGAGCAAUGGCACGAGUUUUGUCAUAGAACAGAUUGAUUGGUUCCAGUGUACUGGGCACUACUCCAAGAUGCGACAUGAACUGCUUCAUCGAGACACCCUCCUUAGCCGCCUCUGAGGCAGCUAUGUACUCCACUUCGCAUGCAGAAUCAGCUACGACGCUUUGCUUGGAACUUCACCAGCUUCCCACACCCCCGUUAAGAAUAAAUACAUAUCCAGUUUGAGACUUAGAGUCAUCCGGAUCAGUGUCAAAGCUUGCAUCGACGUAACCCUUUACGACGAGCUCUUUGUCACCUCCAUAAACGAGAAACAUUUCCUUAGUCCUUUUCAGGUACUUCAGAAUAUUCUUGACCGCCUCCCAGUGUUCCACUCCUGGAUCACUUUGAAACCUGCCUGUCAUACUUAUGUCUAGGCUGACAUCCGGUCUUGUGCACAACAUUGCAUACAUGAUAGACCCUAUGGCUGAAGCAUAAGGGACGACACUCAUCUUUUCUCUAUCUUCUGCAGUUACUUGACAUUGAGUCUUACUCAACUUUAUACCUUGUAACACAGGCAAGAACCCCUUCUUGGAUUGUUCCAUUUUGAACUUCUUCAAAACUUUAUCAAGGUAUGUGAUUUAUGAAAGAGCUAUUAGGCUCCUUGACCUAUCUCUAUAGAUCUUUAUGCCCAAUAUGUAAAAAGCUUCUCCUAGAUCUUUCAAUGAAAAACUUUUAUUCAAGUAAGCCUUUACGUUUACAAAAACUCUAUAUUGUUUCCAAUCAGCAAUAUGUCAUCCACAUAUAAUAUUAGAAACUCUAUAGAGCUCUCACUCACUUUCUUGUAAAUACAAGAUUCUCCAAAAACUUGUAUAAACCCAAACGCCUUGAUCACCUCAUCAAAGCGUUGAUUCCCACUCCGAGAUGCUUGCGCCGGUCCAUAGAUGGAUUGCUGGAGCUUGCAUACUUUGUCAACAUUCUCUGGAUUCACAAAACCUUCGGGUUGCAUCAUAUACAAUUCUUCCUUAAGAAACCCGUUAGGCAACGCUGUUUUGACAUCCAUCUCCCAGAUUUCAUAAUAAAAAAAUGCAGCUAUUGCUAAUGAUUCGAACGGACUUAAGCAUCGCUACGGGUGAGAAUGUCUCAUCGUAGUCAACUCCUUGAAUUUGUGAAAAAACCUUUGCCACAAGUCAAGCUUUAUAAAUGGUCACGUUAUCGUUUGCGUGUGUCUUGUUCUUAAAGAUCCAUUUGUUCCGAAUAGCCUUUCGACCUUCAGGUAAUACUUACAAAAUCCAUAAUUUGUUUUCAUACAUAGAUCCUAUCUCAGAUUUCAUGGCUCCUAACCAUAUAUUGGAAUCUGGGCUCACCAUUGCUUCCCCAUAAUUCGCAGGCUCUUUGUUUUCCAACAACAUGAUUUACAAUAUAGGAUACUCGUACCACUCAGUAAAAGUACAUGCUCUUGUCGACCUGCAUGGUCCGACAGAAACUUGAUCUGAAGCUUCAUGAUCACCAUCAUUAGCUUCCUCUUCAACUGGUGUUGACUCGACAGAAAUUUCUUUCUGCCAUGCACCACCAUCUUGCUAAAGUAGAGGUUCCGCAACCUCAUCAAGUUCUAUCUUCCUCCCACUCAAUUCUUUCAAGAUAAACUCUUUCUCAAGAAAAGCUCCGUUCUUAGCGACAAACACUUUGCCCUCGGAUCUGAGAUAGAAGGAAUAACCAACUGUCUCUUUUAAGUAACCUAUGAAGACGCUUUUCUGCUUUGGGUUCCAGCUUUUUAGGCUGAAGCUUUUUGACAUAAGCAUCACAUUCUCAAACUUUAAGAAAUGACAACUUUGGCUUCUUGCCAUACCACAGCUCAUAUGGCGUCAUCUCAACAGAUUUUGAUGGUGCCCUAUUUAAAGUGAAUGCAUCUAUCUCCAAUGCACAGCCCCAAAAUGAUAAUGGCAAAUCGGUAAGAGACAUCAUAGAACGCAUCAUAUACAAUAAAGUACGAUUACGACGUUCGGACACACAAUUACGCUGUGGUGUGCCAGGUGGUGUUAACUGUGAAACAAUUCCACAUUGUCUUAAGUGGGCACCAAACUCGUAACUCACAUAUUCACCUCCUCAAUCAGAUCGUAGGAACUUGAUCUUCUUGCUACGAUGAUUUUCAACUUCACUCUGAAAUUGUUGGAACUUUUCAAACGUUUCAGAGCUGUGCUUCAUCAAGUAGAUAUAGCCAUACCUACUCAAAUCGUGAGUGAAGGUGAGAAAAUAACGAUUCCGCUGCGCGCCUCUAUGCUCAUUGGUCCGCACAGAUCAGUAUGUAUGAUCUCCCACAAGUCACUUGAACGCUGCAUUGUUCCAGAGAACGGAGUCUUAGUCAUCUUGCAUAUGAGACAUGGUUCGCAUGUGUCAAGUGAUUCAAAAUCAAGUGACUCCGAAAGUCCAUCAGCAUGGAGUUUCUUCCUGCGCUUGACACCAAUAUGACCAAAGCGGCAGUGCCACAAGAAAGUGGCACUAUCAUUGUUAACUCUACAUCUUUUUGUCUCAAUGUUACGAACAAACCCUUACAUUGGGUGCAUGACAAUAAAAUAUAUUACUCAUAUAAAUAGAACAACCAUUAUUCUCUGACUUAAAUGGGUAAUCGUCUCGCAAUAAACAAGAUCCAGAUAUAAUGUUCAUGCUCAACGCAGGCACUAAAUAACAAUUAUUUAAGUUCAUCACUAAUCCCGAUGGUAAUUGAAUUGAGACCGUGCCGACGGCGAUCGCAUCAACCUUGGAACCAUUUCCCACGCACAUUGUCAUUUCAUCCUUCGCUAGCCUUCGUUUAUUCAGCAGUUCCUAUUUCGAGUUGCAAAUGUGAGCAACAGAACCGGUAUCAAAUACGCAGGCACUACUACGAGAGUUGGUGAGGUACACAUCAAUACCAUGUAUAUCAAAUAUACCUUGUUUGGUGUUAGCCGCCUUCUUAUCGGCCAGAUACUUGGGGCAGUUGCANNNNNNNNNNNNNNNNNNNNNNNNNNNNNNNNNNNNNNNNNNNNNNNNNNNNNNNNNNNNNNNNNNNNNNNNNNNNNNNNNNNNNNNNNNNNNNNNNNNNCUCAUAUAAAUAGAACAACCAUUAUUCUCUGACUUAAAUGGGUAAUCGUCUCGCAAUAAACAAGAUCCAGAUAUAAUGUUCAUGCUCAACGCAGGCACUAAAUAACAAUUAUUUAAGUUCAUCACUAAUCCCGAUGGUAAUUGAAUUGAGACCGUGCCGACGGCGAUCGCAUCAACCUUGGAACCAUUUCCCACGCACAUUGUCAUUUCAUCCUUCGCUAGCCUUCGUUUAUUCAGCAGUUCCUAUUUCGAGUUGCAAAUGUGAGCAACAGAACCGGUAUCAAAUACGCAGGCACUACUACGAGAGUUGGUGAGGUACACAUCAAUACCAUGUAUAUCAAAUAUACCUUGUUUGGUGUUAGCCGCCUUCUUAUCGGCCAGAUACUUGGGGCAGUUGCACUUCUAGUGACCGGUCUGCUUGCAAUAAUAGCACACAGUUUUUAGCUUAGGUCCAGCCUUGGGUUUCUUCGUCGGAGGGGCAACAGCUUUGCCACUCUUCUUGGAGUUACCCUUCUUGCCUUUGCCGUUUUUCUUGAAACUACUGGUCUGAUUGACCAUCAACACUUGAUGUUCUUUCCGGAUUUGUGACUCAGUGACUUUCAGCAUCGCAAAUAACUCGUCGGGUGAAUUACUCAUCCCUUGUGUGUUAUAGUUCAACACGAAGCUCUUAUAGCUAGGUGGCAGUGACUGAAGAAUUCGAUGAGUGCUAGCUUCUUACGAGAGUUCAAUCCCCGGUUCACAUAGUCGGUUAGAGUACCCAGACAUUAUGAGCAUGUGUUCACGGACAGAUGAAUUCUCCUCCAUUUUGCAAGCAUAUAACUUAUCGGAGGUCUCAUACCUCUCGAUCCGGGCAUUCUGCUCAAAGAUAAACUUCAACUCCUGGAACAUCUCAUAUGCUCCUUGACGUUCAAAACGUCUUUGAAGUCCCGGUUCUAAGCCAUACAAAACUACACACUGAACUAGUGAGUAGUCAUCCUUACACACUUGCCAAGCGUUCAAAACAUCUUGGGUUGCCGUAGUGGGUGGUGCAUCACCUAGCGCGGCAUCAAGCACAUAUUGCUUUUGGCCAGCUUGAGGAUAAGCCUCAAAUUUCGAGCCCAGUCAACAAAGUUGCUUCCAUCAUCUUUCAGCUUAGCUUUCUCUAGGAACGUAUUAAAAUUCAGGGUUGCUACUGUGCGACCCAUUGAUAUACAACAUAAAAUUUUGCAAAGAUUACUUAGACUAUGUUCAAUACAAUUGAGUUUAGCUAAUCAUAUUACUAAUAAACUCCUACUCAAAUAGACAUCCCUCUAGUCAUUUGAGUGUCGCAUGAUCAAAAUUCACUAACUCAAGUCCGAUCAUCACGUGAGUUGAGUAUAGUUUCAGUGGUGAACAUCUGCAUGUUGAUCAUAUCAACUAUAUGAUUCAUGCUCUACCUUUUGGUCUCUUGUGUUUCAAGGCCAUGUAUGUACAUGCUAGCUAGGCUCGUCAAGUUUAACCCGAGUGUUCUACGUGUGCAACUGUUUUGUACCCGUUGUAUGUGAACGUUGAGUCCAUCACACCCGAUCAAUGGUGCACAGUUGGGGAAAACACAAUUUUAUCUUGAAAUAUUAGUGAGGGAUCACCUUAUAAUGCUACCGUUGUUCUAAGCAAAAUAAGGUGCAUAAAAGGAUUAACAUCACAUGCAAAUCAUCAGUGACAUGAUAUGGCCAUGAACUUGUCCUUCUUGAUCUCCAUCACCAAAGCACCGGCAUGAUCUCCAUCGUCACCGGUGCCACACCAUGAUCUCCAUCAUUGUGCUACCAUCAUGGUUGUCACUCUAUCUAUGCUAUUACUACUAAAGCUACUGCCUAGCAAUAUAGCGAGAGCAUCUGCAAGCGGAAAAUAAAUUUAUAAACAACCCUAUGGCUCCUGCCGGUUGCCGUAGCAUCGACAUGCAAGUCGAUAUUUAACUAUUACAACAUGAUCAUCUCAUACAUCCAAUACACCAUAUCAUGUCUUUGGCCAUAUCACAUCACAAGCAUACCCUGCAAAAACAAGUUAGACAUCCUCUAAUUUGUUGUUGCAUGUUUUACAUGGCUCCUAUGGGUAUCUAGUAUGAUCGCAUCUUACUUACGCAAAGCCACAGCGGUGAUAUGCGAAUUGCUAUUAAACCUUCUCCAAGGACCGCCUCGGUCAAAUCCGAUUCAACUAACGUUGAAGAAGCACACACCCGCCAGUCAUCUUUAUGCAACAAGUUGCAUGUAAGUCGAUGAAACUGGUCUCUCGUAAGCGUAUGAGUAAAGUUGGUCCGGGCCGCUUCAAUCCAACAAUGUCGUUGGAUCAAGAAAAUACUAAGGAGGGCAACAAAUUGAAUAUCAACGCCCACAAACUCUUUUGUGUUCUACUCGAGAUAUCAUCUACGCAUGAACCUAGCUCGUGAUGCCACUAUUGGGGAACGUUGCAUGGGAAACAAAAUUUCCCAACGCACUCAAAGACCUAUCAUGGUGAUGAUCAUCUAUGAGAGGGAUAUCAUAUCCACAUACCCUUGUAUAUCGCUAAGCGGGGAGCACUAAGAAACGCGGUUGAUGUAGUGGAACGUUUUCGCGAUCCAAAUCGCCACCAUCCCAUGAUUCGUCCCGAUCUAGCGCCGAACGGACGGCACCUCCGUGUUCAGCACACGUCCAGCUCGACGACGAUCUCCGCCUUCUUGAUCCAGCAAGGGAGAUGUAGAGGUAGCUGAAUUCUUCGGCAGCACGACGAUGUGGCGGUGAUGAUGGUGAAUCUACUCCGGCAGGGCUUUGUCGUGCCGUAACGAUCUAUCUAUGAGGUGUCAUGAAGUAGUGCAGGGAGAGAGGGCUGCACAAAGGCUUGAAGUUCCAAAACCCUCUCAAACUUCCACUAUAUAUAGGAGGAACCAAGGUGAGGGUGGCUUGCCUCCUACUCCAAGGAGGAGGCUUCGGCUGAGGCAACGAGGGAGGAGUCCUCCUCCAAUUCGGUUUGGUGGAGGACUCCUUCCCAUCUUGUCCACCUCCUUCCUUCUUUUUUCCCUCUUUAUUUUUGCAUUGGCCGAAAUAGGCUUAUUGGACUGGCCUCACCAGCCCACUAAAGUUUGGUGCACUAACCAUGGGCCUGUUAGGUCCUCUCUCGGGUGGGUGGCCCCUUCCGGUAAAACCCUAGAACCCAUUUGUCACUCUCGAUACUUUACCUGUAGUUCCCGAAAUAUUUUCGGAAGCCAAAUGCAACAAUCGUCUAUAUCAAUCUUUGUUUCUGGACCAUUUCGGAGACACUCGUGACGUCACGGAUCUCAUCCGGGACUCUGAACAAUAUUCAGUUACCAACAUCAAUAAUUCACCUAUACCGAAAACGUCACCUAACCUUAAGUGUGUAGACCCUGCGGGUUCGAGAACUAUGUAGACAUGACCGAGACACUCUCCAGUCAAUAUCCAAUAGCAGGACCUAGAUGUCCAUAUUGGAUCCUACAUAUGCUACGAAGAUCUUAUCGGUUGAACCUCUAUGUCAAGGAUUCACACAAUCCCGUAUAUCAUCCCCUUUAUCCUUCGGUAUGUUACUUGCCCGAGAUUCGAUCGUUGGUAUAACCAUACCUAUUUCAAUCUCAUUACCAACAAGUCUCUUUACUCGUUCUAUAAUACAAUAUCUCAUGGCUAACUCUUUAGUCACAUUGCUUGCAAGGCUUGUUUGUGAUGUUGUAUUACCGAGUGGGCCCCGAGAUACCUCUACGUCACACGGAGUGAUAAAUCCGAGUCUUGAUCCGUGCUAACUCAAAGGACACCUUCGGAGAUUCCUGUAGAGUACCUUUAUAAUCACCCAAUAAUGAUGCAACGUUUGAUACACACAAGGAAUUCCUCCGGUGUCAACGAGUUACAUGAUCUCAUGGUCAUAGGAACGUAUACUUGACAUGCAAAAAACAAUAACAACAAAAUGACACAAUCAUAAUAGUUGCCACAGUUGGCGUCUAAGUGACACCACAUAAAGGGCUUAUAUGAUAAAAAUAAUAGUUGCCACAGUCAGGUGUCUAAGCGACACCACAUAAAGGACUUAUAUNNNNNNNNNNNNNNNNNNNNNNNNNNNNNNNNNNNNNNNNNNNNNNNNNNNNNNNNNNNNNNNNNNNNNNNNNNNNNNNNNNNNNNNNNNNNNNNNNNNNCAAGUUAAUUCUGUUUUGUAAAAUAUUUACUUGCUCCUAAAUUCUUGUUUCUAUUUUUAUUAAAUAGGUCUUGAUUUUUCAUGUCGAGGGAUGUGUUAGUGUUAUUUUUAGCACUUGUAGAUUUCCCUGUGCAUUUCUUUCUUUCUUUGCUUUUAUUCUGUAAAUAGGAUAGCCACGGGAAUUCUUUUCCCCUAUGUUGCGCCACCUGUGGGCUUACUCCCACAGGCCGGCCCAUCUCUUCCCUCUUCCCGUGCGCUAAGCCCAGUCCAUACGACAUCCCUUCUUCCACCUGACGGUGUCCACCUCUCUGCCCCCUUUCCAUCAAGCCAACAGAGAGAAGAAGUUGCCGCCGUGAGGGCACGACCGUCGAGGUCCCCCCUAUAUUUUGGCGUCCGUGCCUCUCCCCACUCCUAGGGUUUCCCUCUCUCCCAUCCACCGCCGCCGCUCCAUUCCCCAUCUCCCUCCUCUCUGUUUCUCCCCCAAAGGUAAUUCUCUGUAGCCAGGUUCAGAGAGAGGAGAGAAGCCCCGCCACCGUCUACCCCCACCUCCGUCGACGUCCGACGCUACCGCCAUGUACAGGGGCACGGGGGAGGUGCCCGCGCCCCAUUCCCGACCUAGAUGAGGCCUGGGAACAUCGACAUCGACGACCAGGAGCUCGCCAUCGCCUCGACCACGGAGCUCCCCUUCCUCUACGUCUAUCUGCUGCCAGGGAUUCCUCCGAUCGUCUUCUUCCCCUCCGAUCCGGUCUCAUCCACCGUACGACGUCUCCUCUACCUUCCCUAGGUGAGGAACAUCACCCCCUUCCUUCCCCCUCCUUCUCUUCGACCAGAUCGGCUAGUGUCGCCGGAGUUCUUCUCUGUGAGAGUAGAUCGUGCGUGUUUGUGUGUUGCUGUGCUUGGGUGCGUGUUGCGUAAUAGUAAUAGCAUGGCGUGGUGUAGCAGUUGUGCAGUACCAGUAGGGUGUAGCCCCUCGUAGCGCAGUAGCAGAAGCAGGACACCCCGGCGUCCUUCCUGUCGCCAGCGACCUCUGCGUGCCAAGCAGAGUACAAGGUGCUUGGCCAUUUUAUCUUGUUUUAUUCUUUCCCUCUAUCAGGCAACGUUUCAUAGCGAAGUGGUAACAGUGUUGGUGUGAUCUCGUGGGCUCGUGGGUUCGAGACCCACGGGAUGCACUCCCCCCUUUUUUUGUUGGUUUUAUUUCGGUACAAGUGGUUGCCGCAGCAGGACAGCUUAUCCUGCUAGAUGCUCCUGUUCUGUCAAACAGGGCCUCUUUAGCAGACUCGUAGAGGAGUAGUAUGUACCUCCAGAGGUACAGGGUUCGACUCCUUGCUCCUCCUUUUUAUUUUUUCCUUCGAGUUGUGCAUUUAUUUCUUGUGUUGUUGCAUCCUGGCUUGAGUGGUUGUUGUUGUGGUGUGCAUCACACCAUGGAGGUGAUUUAAACUUCCCUCACAACAGCAUUGUUUGCAUAACAGUUUGUUGGUUGUGUGUAGUAGCCCAUAUAAAGGAGUUGAACCUUGUGUAUAUUUGUAGUGUGUAGACAUAUGUAAUGAGAUGUGGAGUUUUAGUGUGCACUAGCCUAGAUGGAUGUAUGUGUGUGUGGGUUUCCCACCAUCCACCUGUGAUGCAAGUGAGUGUAUUGUGGUGUAGUGUUGAGUGUGUUUGUGAGUGUGUAGGUGUGUGGAUGGGAUUCCCCCUCUCCACAUAGCUUGUGUAAAUUUGUGCAUAGGAGUUUAUCUUGGUUUGUCUGUGGUUGCAUUAGUAGCGCAUGGUAGAUUUAUCAUGUGUAUGUGUUCUAGUGGAUAAGAGAGCAUGUGUAGAUGAUGUGGUGUGAUGGAACUCAUGCAAAUGGUGCUUUGUGGUGCAUGUGUGAGUGUGCACCAUCACAUGCCCAUAUGCGAGGGUGUGCAUACUCUCUUUGUAAGUGUAGGCGUUAUAUCUAUGUUGUGCUUGUCUCAUGUGGUGAUGUGUUGGUGUGCCAAGGCAUAUAGGCAUGAGGUCUACCCCUCAUGUGCACCAUUGAUAUUGUGGUCACGUAUAUAUGCUUAUGUAGGUUUUGUUCUAGUGAAUAGCACAUGUGAUGAUGCACUAUUCACUAGAUAUGAUUCCUUGUAGAUUUUCUUCCCUAGUUUGUGCCCACUUGUUCCAAGCAAGUGCAUAGGAAUUUUAUAUGUUUUUUUGGUAGAAAGGUCCCAGGAAUCCGUUGGUGAAAUCAUUUUUGCCAUUGGAACAUUUUCUGGAGAUGACAUAUUUUAGAUUUGUCCCAUGUUUAGAGCUUGGUUCCAUGUGAUGUGGUGGGCCCAAGGGUUUGUUUCUUUGUUGUGGUAGAAGAGGGUGACCCCCUAUACCAUAUGUUGGUUUCAUUUCAUGUUUAGGAAUCCAUAUGUGCAAGUUGUGCCCAAUCAAAGUAGGCUUAUGGCUGAAAUUCCAGAUUAGUGAAAAUCUGAGAUUUUCACCAAGUCUGAGAAUCUGUUUAUAUUUUCUUGUCCUGUAGAUGAGCUUGUGCAGGUCAAUGUGUUGUGAUCUAGCCUUAGUUUUCAACUGGAAAGUUGAAUCUGAUAUGUUUGUCUAGCUCCCUGUAAAUUUUCAUUCCAUUUGGAUUCCUGUAGAUAUUGUUUUGGCUGCUGUCAAAAUGCUUCAGAGCAUAAACAGAAAGUGAGAAUCUGGAAUUUUCACAAAGUCCCUGAAAUCUGAUAUUUUUGGGCAAGUUUGCAGCAGUGUAACUUUCUGUGUUUAACUCCUUUGUGUGAUAUUCUUGCUAGUGCUUGUAGCAAUCUUGGAUAGCUACAGCCACAUAUCUUAUUUGGCAUGUUUAGGUGGCUGUAGGUGCUUUGCAUGUAGCUCACAAAGUGCUAUGAUGCAGUUUAUGGCAGAUUGUGUAGUUUUGGCAUUUUGAUGAUUGUGAGUGCUUAGUUGAUGAUGUGGUGUUCUUCUUUGCUCCACCCCAUCCAUGUUGGUUUGUUUUAUGUCUUGGCUACCUGGAAAUACCAGAUUUGAGCCAUUGGAGUGUGUUGUGGUGGAUUUGUCACUUAGCACCUCAUAUCUUGUUUCGUUGAUUCCCGUUGAUCCGUAGCUCUGAUUGUAAUGUUCUUUAUAUGGUUUUGCAUUGUUUCUAUGAGACGAAUCGGAUCAUGUCAUUCUCAUGCAUGUCAAGAUAGAUUAGGAUGGAGUUUUGUCCAGGAACAUGUAUUUACUUCUCAUGCUUGUGUUAGUGAUAGAAAUAGUGAUGCAUGCUCAUAUUCAUCUCAUGCAUCAUGUGCUUGUUGCAUCUUGAGGUGUUGUUGUUCAUUGGAUGUUAUUCUUAUGUUGGGUAGCACCGAGAUCGGAGAACGAGUACGUGGAUUCGGGAGAGUACGUGCAGGAUGAACAAGAACCAUUCCAAGCUGAGGAUAUCACAGGCAACAUGAUAUGACCUUGAUUGCAUCUCUAGACUUGUUAUGCUAGAUUACAUUUGUUCCAUCUUAUUCUCGCUACCUACCACUGAAAUAAAUUGCCUCCUGAUAUUCCAUGAAACAAAACACUUAUCCCUUCCUAGCAAAUCUUGAAUGGCUAAGUAGGCUUUGCUCGGCUACUAAUGUUAGCGUUGCUAGAUGCAGGUGCUUUGCCUCAUGUGAUAACAUGAGCUUGAUAUCAUUAUCUUAAUUCUGUUAUUUAAUUAAUGCACCUAUAUACUUGGUAAAUAACAGAAGGCCUAGCCUUUUGCCGGGUGCUUUGUUCCGUUAUUGCCGCCAUAGUUACCGGCUACCGGUGUUUGAUUCCAUAAUGAUCGCUCCUAACACGUUCGGGGUUGUUAUGGGGACCCCUCGGUAAAUCGCGAAGUAUUAAGGCUUGUCCGACAGGACCCAACAUUGGUGUUAAUUUGCUAAUCACUUAAUAAUAAACUGCAUAGGGAAUGGCCUACCCGAGGAACUUAAUCAACAACCUGGGCCAGUGCUCCUCAUGAGUGUUGGCCCAAACUAGAGCACCGUGCGGGGCCAUCCCGGGGCAACUCGCGAGAUUUCUCUGGCCACUAUACGCUUCGCUUAUCCGGCGUCGCCUGAGACUGAGAUACGGGGCUCUUAUAUGGGUCGUCGACACGUAGGGAGGUCCUGCUAGUCUUGUCUUACCUAAGCGAUAUAUCUUGCGUAUAGGAAUCCCGGUGAAGCUUUGGUUCUCCCCAGAGUUGAGGUUUUCCUCUAAGGAAUCCGACGAGAUCACAAGAUUCGUGAUAGAGGAUUACUUUGCGUCCCGUGUACGUUUGUGAUGGACUAUUUGGAGCACCCCUGCAGGGUUUAAUCUUUCGAAAAGCCGUGCCCACGGUCAUGUGGCAACUUGGAAUACUUUCUUAACAUCCGGUAAUAGAUAACUUAAACAUAAGCUAAUAAAAUUGCCAACUGUGUGCGUAACCGUGACUGUCCCCUUCGAAGAUCUCUCUUCGAUCGGGAACACGGUGGGGUUCUGAUUGACGCAGGUAGGUGUUCAGGAUCACUUAGUGAUCAUCAAUUAUCGACCGCUAGUAUAGACCGACUUCAUUUGAAGUUAUACGUAAGUUAGCCACCAUAUAAAGCUUAGGAUGCUUCAACCUAAAUACUCCACCUAUCCAACUUAAUAACUUGACUAGUUCUGGCACCGAGGUCAUAGAUUGCUGAGUCCCCAUGGAUCACAGAUUCCUUCACAACGCCAAUAGGUUUAGGUACCCCCGAGACAGGUGAUCCCGACGGCACGCAGCUGACGUGGGAUUAUGAUGAGGAGAACGAAAGCCUGUACGUGAACUAUCUAGAAGAUUGAGGCGUGGUCGUGAUCGUGGGCCAGCAGGUAGGGCAGCUUAGUCAUUUCCCAUGUUUUGUCGUUCGUAGCGGAACUACCUUGACUGUAUGCGUGAUGUACUCUGAUAUAUUUAUGAGAUGGCAAUUGAAUCCCUUAUUGUCAUUCUGUUGAUAUUAUGUAUGUGUUAUGUUACCAUGUUUGCAAAACGCUUAGAUGCGCUCCUUACCAAUUCGAGGCCUCAUUCCCCAGAUCAGAAAGGACCGCAUCUUAGUCGUUACAAGUUGGUAAUCAGAGCCUUACGACCAUCGGAGCCUUUGUGUGAUCGUACUUGGCCCAGUCGAGUGUAGUAAAAUGUUUUGAGUCUUAGUUAUAUCGGAGAGUAGGAUUCUUUUUUCUCCUCUUCCAUGCUCUGGUGAGGUUCCCGACUUAGGAAAUCUUAAAUUAUACUCCUUUUCUCGCUCAAAUUUUUUUUGGAUCAUGCGGGUAUUUGUGAAAUCUAUAUGAUUUCGAUGUGACGGAGUUCUGUCUUGGUGCCUCCUGUCUGCCUUGAUUUCUUCCGGGGAGUUGAGCUCUAGGGGAUUCUUGCGCACAUAUCCAUCAUUCAGAUUUGUGAGUAUCUAAGAACGAAGGAUGUUCGUUAUUGCUUCAAUACUGGUAGUGGCGAGAUAACCCCGAUGUCCCCAGUACUGGUGCAGAUUGUUCGGGAGUACUGCCAUACUUUGUAUCGUUGUGAUCACGAGGGUCUGUUGUAGAUGAAGGUCCGAGAUGCUGGUUGUGUGUUGACGGAUGUGAUACAGGUGACGGGUUAGUAUAGGAGUUGUGUGAUAUUACUCCUUGUAUCCGUGUACCAGAUUGCAUGACCAGUUAUUUCGGGAAUUCAUUGGUGGGAUAUCAAGUAGUAUCUCAUAGGACUAUCUUCCUAGAGAUGCAUGACUGAGGUUGGGAUUAGAUGUUCAGUGGGUGCGUUUGUUCACGGUCGUCUUACAGCGGUUCUCGUUGUGUCUUAAAGAGUCCUUGUAGCUCGCUAUGACUUGGGGAUACUUCGUAUGUCGUGUGCACUGCCUUGCACAGGAUGGCUACUGUAAAUUCGAGCCCGUGUGAUCUUAUCCACGAAGAUAUCAGAUGAAAUCUCGAUCAUAUGUUUGUUCCGAGCAAUUCUAGCUCAUACUUGUUUGUAGUGGUCUUAAUCAGAAUUUUGUCGACCGUCACUUUGAGGAAGCAUUCUUACUGUUUUGUUCGAGUGCAAUUGAUUAUUCCUGUUUAGAUAUUCCUGUUAUUUUGAUUCAGCAAUAUCUUCAAUUUAUUCUGUGGCCUAAUGUGUUGUCCGUCUUCAGGAUGGCUCCACCAACGCGUCAGAACCCAGGGCGUGAGGAUAUGCCGCCACCACCUCCUCCUCCGGAGAAUCCUCCGCCGCCGCCACCUCCUCCUGCAGAGGCCUGGCAUGCAAUGAUGGCUGCUACUAAUGCAAACACCCAGAUGCUGCUAUAGUUGUUGCAAGAGAGAGCUAAUCAGCAGCAAGGCAAUUUCCAGCAUGGUGGCAAUCAAUUUUCUAGUCUGAGUCAGUUCCUGUCGAAUCAGCCAAAGAGCCAUUUGAUGCCGAGGAUUGGAUCCGUGAUAUGAAUAAGCAUUUCGAGUGUCGCAAUGUUUGUCCUGAGGAUUUUGUCAAAUUUGCAACAUUCCAGUUGAAGGGGCAGGCUUCUAUCUGGUGGCCACAGCUGAAGGACUCCACACGCGCUAGGGGGAUCUCUUGGGAUAAGUUCUGUCGUGACUUCAGGUCCCACUACAUUCCUUCCAGCUUUGUGGAGGAGAUGCGUGAGAAGUUCAGGCGUUUGAAGAAGGGUGGCAAUUCCGUGUACAAGUACACCGUUGAGUUCAACGAGCUAGCCCGAUACGCCUUGCAGGAUAUCCCUGAUCAGAAGAGCAAGAUUUAUCAGUUCAGAGGUGGCUUGAAAGAAGAUUUGUUGCUAGCUCUUGCUUUGCACGAUCCUGAGGAGUUCGACAAGUUCUACAACUUAGCUCUCAAAGUAGAGGUAGCCUUGCUCAGGGUGGAGAAUUCUAAGAAGCGCUUCAGAGAUUCCAGCUCUUCCUCUACUCACGUGGUUAAGAAGCAACAUAAGUUUUGGGUGUCUCCUCCUCCUCCUCGGCACUCGCAGCAGCUUAAGCACUCUGUUGGUCAUGGUUCGUCCCACCCACCCAACCCUGUCUUCCAACAGAGAUUCCAGCAUCAGAAGCAAGGGCCUCCUCAGACACAGUACCGGAAGCCAGCAGAGGUGACUUGUCACAAGUGUGGUCAGAAGGGUCAUUAUGCCAACAAGUGUAUUAUUCAGCUCCGACUGCCGCCUCCUCCUCCAGGCAAACCUCCAAGUAAUUCUCUUGUCAAGUUCAACCCCAGAUCAGCUCGAGUCAACAUGGUGAACGCAGCUGAAGCAGACAAGUCCUCUGAUGUGAUCAUGGGUAAUCUUUAAGUCAAUGAUUUUCCUGCUAAAGUCUUGUUCGAUUCUGGUGCUUUGCAUUGCUUUAUGUCAAAGUCAUUUUUUCAUCAAGCAUGAUUUUCCCUCCACAAGUUUGCAUACACCUUUGGGUGUUGUUUCUCCGGGUGCUCAGAUGAGGUCAAAUUCUAUAGUUCAUGAUGUCAAUGUCAAGAUAGGAAGCUAUUCUUUUCUGGCUUCUCCGUAUGUCUUGGGCAAUUCCGACAUCGACUUGAUCCUUGGUAUGGACUGGCUGGCCAUGAACAAGGCAUCAACUGAUUGUGAAGCUAAAGAAGUGAAGCUUACCCACUCUUCGGAGGACGUGAUUAUAUUCGCGGCGCGCGAUGAUACAAUCCGUCUGUUCUCUUUGAAAGAAAAGGGUGAGAUCAAUCCUAUUUUGCAAGUCCCAGUGGUCUGCGAAUAUGAAGAUGUGUUUCCAGAAGAGCUGCCAGGCAUGCCUCCGCACAGAUAAGUUGAGUUUGUGAUUGAGCUUGAGCCAGGCACCGAGCCGGUGUGCAAACGAUCGUACAAGUUGGGUCUAGAAGAAUUGAAAGAACUUAAGAGGCAACUCGAUGAGCAGGAACGUUUGGGUCUGAUCAGACCGAGCUCACCUCCGUGGGGUUGUGGAGUUCUGUUUGUCAAGAAGAAGGAUGGCACGGACCAACUGUGUGUCGAUUACCGUCCAUUGAACAAGAAGACAAUCACGAACAAAUAUCCACUUCCGAACAUAACUGAGUUGUUCGAACAGUUGAAAGGUGCUAAGGUCUUCUCCAAGCUUGAUCUCAGAAUGGGCUAUCAUCAAAUUCGCAUUCGCGAAGAAGAUAUUCCGAAGACUGCCUUCAGGACUAGUUUUGGCUCGUAUGAGUAUACGGUCAUGUCUUUUAGUCUGGCUAAUGCUCCUCUGACAUUCUGUCGAUUGAUGAACUACAUAUUCUCUCCGUUCAAGAAUGACUUUGUCUUGCUCUAUCCCGACGACAUUUUGGUCUUUUCUGAAACUGAGGAAGAACAUGAAGAUCAUCUCAGAUUGGUGCUUGAUAAGCUGAGAGAGUACAAGUUGUAUGCCAAGUUUUCCAAGUGUGAGUUCUGGCUGAAAGAGGUCGUCUAUCUUGGUCACAUUAUCUCUGCCGAGGGCAUUAAAGUUGAUCCAUCCAAGGUUCAGGACAUUGUUGAAUGGGAGCCUCCGCAGAAUGUGAAGGAGCUUCGAAGCUUUCUUGGGCUUGCAGGCUAUUGCAGAAGGUUCGUUGAGAACUUCUCCAAGAUCGCCAUGCCGCUCUCAAGUCUUCUUCAGGAAGGUGUGAAAUAUGCUUGGUCUCCAGAGUGUCAGUUGGCCUUCGACACACUCAAAGAGAACCUCACCUCCACUCCAGUCUUGGUUCCUCCGGAUGAUUCCAAGCCUUACCAGGUCUUAUGUCAUGCUUCUCUCAAGGGUCUUGGUGCAGUCCUGCUGCAAGACAAGAAAGUCGUUGCUUAUACCUCUAGGCAGUUGAAGCAAGCGGAGAAGAACUAUCAUGUGCAUGAUCUUGAGCUAGCAGCUGUGGUACACGCUCUGAUGACUUGGAGACACCUCUUGUUGGAACGUAAGGUUGAAGUUUUCACCGAUCACAAGAGUCUCAAGUACAUCUUCACUCAGCCUAACCUGAAUCUUCGACAAACACGUUGGGUGGAAAUGCUCCAAGAUUUUAAUCCGAGUGUUGAGUACACGCCAGGCAAAGCUAAUGUCGUGGCGGAUGCAUUGAGCAGGAAAGCGUACUGCAACAGUCUGAUUCUGCAACCUCUCCAGCCUGGUCUUCGUGAGUCUUUCAGGAAGCUCAACCUUCAGCUAGUACCUCAGGGAUUUCUUGCAAACCUUCAGAUCUCUCCUACCUUGGAAGAUCAGGUCCGAGCAGCACAUCUUCUUGACGCUAUGGUGAAGAAAGUCAAGAUUGGCGUGGCAAAGAGUCUUCCCAAGUAUAAGUGCCUUACUAUUGAUGCCAGAGACACGUUGUUCUUCGAGGAUCGCCUUGUCGUCCCGAAAGGUGAUCUCAGAAAGGUAAUCAUGGAGGAAGCUCAUAACUCUCUGCUCUCUAUUCAUCCUGGAAGCUCCAAGAUGUACAACGACUUGAAACAGACCUUCUGGUGGACUCGUAUGAAGCGUGAGAUUGCUCAGUUCGUAAACGAAUGUGAUGUAUGUCGAAGGGUGAAAGUAGAGCAACAACGUCCAGCAGGUCUUUUGCAUCCAUUGCCCAUUUCCGAGUGGAAGUUCGAUCACAUUGAGAUGGAUUUCAUCACCGGGUUUCCGAAGUCCUAGAAGGGUAAUGAUGUUAUCUUCGUCGUCAUCGACAAGUUGAGUAAAGUGGCUCAUUUUCUUCCUGUCAAGGAAUCCAUUUCCGCAGCUCAGUUUGCAGAGUUGUACACCUCCAGGAUUGUGUCCUUGCACGGUGUGCCUAUGAUGAUCUCUUCGGAUCGCGGAAGUAUCUUCACUUCCAAGUUCUGGGACUCUUUUCAGUCUGUUAUGGGCACGAAGAUCCGCUUCACCACAACGUUCCAACCUCAGACUAGUGGUCAAGUGGAGCGAGUGAAUCAAGUUCUUGAGGAUAUGCUCAGAGCCUGUGUUAUCUCUUUUGGUAUGAAGUGGGAGGAUUGUAUGCCUUUUGCGGAGUUCUGGUAUAGCAACAGUUAUCAAGCUAGUUCUGGCAAGGCUCUAUUUGAAAUUCUCUAUGGCAGGAAGUGUGGUACCUCGCUCAACUGUUCCGAGACCGGCGAGCGUCAGGUCCUUGGGAAUGAUUUGAUAGAAGAAGCUGAGGAGAUGUGUCGGGUCAUUCGCGACAACCUCAGAGCAGCUCAGUUCCGUCAGAAGAGCUAUUAUGAUAGCAAGCACCGUGACAUGUAUUAUGAACUUGAUGACUUCGUCUAUCUCAAGGUGUCGCCUAUGAAGGGUAUGUAGUGCUUUGACAUCAAAGGCAAGCUUGCGCCUCGUUUCGUUGGUCCGUUCAGACUGGUUGGCAAGAGAGGCGACCUUGCGUACUAGCUUGAGCUCCCAUCAAACUUUACAAAUGUGCAUGAUGUCUUCCAUGUUUCUCAGCUUCGGAGGUGCUUCAAGACCCCCGAGCGCACUGUUCAUCUUCAAGACAUCGACCUUCAGCCUGACCUUUCUUAUCGUGAGCAUCCAGUUGCGGCUCUCGAGGCUAAUGAACGCAAGACCCGCAACAAGACCGUCAAAUUUCUCAAAGUGCAGUGGUCACACCAUUCCGAUAAAGAGGCUACUUGGGAACGCGAGGAUCACCUACGUUCUGAAUUUCCGGAAUUUUUUCAGGCGUAGAUCUCGGGGCGAGAUCUUUUUGUAGUGUGGGAGAGUUCGUAACGCCCCAAGUGUGUAAACUUCCCUAUUUGGAUACCUUCUUCAUGUGGGUCCACCUUGUCAAUGCUAUGAGAGAGAUCAUGCUCAUGAUUUCAUGUGAUGUCCCUUGUUUUUCUUCCUUGCAUGCAUGCAUAACAUAUCAUAUCAUGCCCAUGUCUUUGUGAUGUUGCAAUGUNNNNNNNNNNNNNNNNNNNNNNNNNNNNNNNNNNNNNNNNNNNNNNNNNNNNNNNNNNNNNNNNNNNNNNNNNNNNNNNNNNNNNNNNNNNNNNNNNNNNUAAUGCACCUAUAUACUUGGUAAAUAACAGAAGGCCUAGCCUUUUGCCGGGUGCUUUGUUCCGUUAUUGCCGCCAUAGUUACCGGCUACCGGUGUUUGAUUCCAUAAUGAUCGCUCCUAACACGUUCGGGGUUGUUAUGGGGACCCCUCGGUAAAUCGCGAAGUAUUAAGGCUUGUCCGACAGGACCCAACAUUGGUGUUAAUUUGCUAAUCACUUAAUAAUAAACUGCAUAGGGAAUGGCAUACCCGAGGAACUUAAUCAACAACCCGGGCGAGUGCUCCUCAUGAGUGUUGGUACAAACUAGAGCACCGUGCGGGGCCAUCCCGUGGCUACUUGGGAGAUUUCUUUGGCCACUGUACACUUCGCUUAUCCGGCGUGUCCUGAGACUGGGAUAUGCGGCUCUUAUAAGGGUCGUCGACACGUCGGGAGGUCCUUCUAGUCUUGUCUUACCUUAGCGAUAUAUCUUGCGUAUAGGAAUCCCGGUGAAGCUUUGGUUCUCCCCAGAGUUGAGGUUUUCCUCUAAGGAAUCCGACGAGAUCACGAGAUCCGUGAUAGAAGAUUACUUUGCGGCCCGUGUAUGUUUGUGAUGGACUAGUUGGAGCACCCCUGCAGGGUUUAAUCUUUCGGAAAGCCGUGCCCGCGGUUAUGUGGCAACUUGGAAUACUUUGUUAACAUCCGGUAAUAGAUAACUUAAACAUAAGCUAAUAAAAUUGCCAACUGUGUGCGUAACCAUGACUGUCCCCUUUGAAGAUCUCUCUUGGAUCGGGAACACAGUGGGGUUAUGAUUGAUGCAGGUAGGUGUUCAGGAUCACUUAGUGAUCAUCAAUUAUCGACCGCUAGUAUAGACCACCUUCAUUUCAAGUUAUACAUAAGUUAGCCACCAUAUAAAGCUUAGGAUGCUGCAACCUAAAUACUCCACCUAUCCAACCUAAUAACUUGACUAGUUCUGGCACCGAGGUCAUAGAUUGCUGAGUCCCCGUGGCUCACAGAUUCCUUCACAACACCAAUAGGUUCAGGUACCCCCGAGAUAGGUGAUCCCGACGGCACGCGGCUGGCGUGGCAGUAUGAUGAGNNNNNNNNNNNNNNNNNNNNNNNNNNNNNNNNNNNNNNNNNNNNNNNNNNNNNNNNNNNNNNNNNNNNNNNNNNNNNNNNNNNNNNNNNNNNNNNNNNNNCCACACCCUUGUUGUUGAGAAUCCUUGGAUUUUCCCUGGUAGACCAUUGUUGCCAGACCAGUGAGGGCACAUUCUCUAAACUCCUCCAAGGUGGAGGAGAGUAUUUCCCCCUUUAUGGGGAUAUUUCCUCCGAGUCCCAUCACUCAUGUCUUAUUGACACCACGUAAGUGUACGUUAGUCCAGCAUCAUAUUUUCAUGAUGCUAUAUGAGUGACCGUGUGCUAUAUGAUUGUCUUGAUUGCACGUGCAUAUGAGUGACCUUGUUCCAUAUUUUCACCCCAUCUUUAUUUUUUUUCCUAAGGAAAUCUUGGGGACAAGAUUUAUUUUUAAGGGGGGUAGUGUUUGUGACGCCCCAAAAAUUUAACCAUAUUUGUACUAAUUAAAAUAUUGCCUCAAACAAAACUUUUGAAAAUGAAUUACUUCUUUGCUUAUUUGAGAACAUCUUUUCUAAAACGUUUCCCUCCAAGUAGACUUUUGAAAAGCAUUAUCGAUUUGAGUAUUGGUAUAAAUUAAUUUAUUUCGUUCUUAGAAAUUCAGUGUGGAAUUAUUUUUAUCAAAAAAUGUGAAUUUAAAAUGUUUUAAAGGAUUUUUCAUCCUUUUAAGAGCAUGUGUUGCAUCGCAACCAUUUUUUAAAGUCAUUUAGAAAUUCCAAAAACAAUAGGAGGUGUCAAGGGAUGCAUGUGAUUCACUUUUACGCAAAAACUUAUUUGUGUUCUUUGGAAAAUUGGAGCAAAGCAACCCUUUUUUAUUCUGGCCUAGUUUUGCAAUUUGAAAUACAACCCUAUUUAACUUGCCCUUUUGGCAAUGAUUUUUUUCCUGCUUGAAGCCCAUCCUACCAAACCGUUAAGUCCAUAAGUUUAUCCCCAUUGAGAUUGUUAAGUGCAUGAUUUAAUAGCCUAAAAUUUCUGACAAUAACUGUUUUUCUCAAAAAGUUGCAUGGACAAGUUUUUCCUUUUUCAAAUCUAACCCCACCAUCUUUCUUAGUGUCGAGAGAGACAUUAACGUGGAAAGUUUGAAUACCAGAAAAAUCUUUUAGAUACCUCUGGCAUUUCAUCAAUGUCCUAGAGUGCAUGGCAAGAUUUGGCAUGGUUUUUGUUUUGCAUUACCAAGUUGAUCCCGUGGCCUAAAUAACAUGUCUAGGAGGCUUGUUUUAACCCUUAACCUAACCCUGGUAGGUUUGAAGUGAAUUGGAGACAUUUAGGAGUGCCCAACAAUUUGUCGAGCACAUGGCGUGCGUGCUCUGGGCGCGGCCAAAGCGCAGGUAUUUUUCAUAUUUUCCAAAAAUAAACUCCGUAAAUUUUCAGGACGUUCUGAGAACUUUGAUUUCUGCACAAAAAACAACACCAAGGCAAUUUUGCUGAAAACAACGUCAGUCCAGGUUAGUUCCGUUCAAAUCAUGCAAAUUAGAGUCCAAAACAAGGGCAAAAGAGUUUGGAAAAGUAGAUACGAUGGAGACGUAUCAACUCCCCCAAGCUUAAAACCUUGCUUGUCCUCAAGCAACUCAGUUCACAAACUGAGAGAGAAAGAAAAACUUUGACAAACUCUGUUUGAUCUUGUUGUUGCAACUAUGUCUAACUCAUAACCAGAAUUUCAGCAAGAUCACAAGUUAACCACAUAAGCAAGUAACACAAAGGUCUCACGGUAAACUAAUAUCAAUGGCAUAAUCAGCUAACGACCAAAUAAUAAUGAGUUUCAAAUACCAACACUUCAAUCAAAACAAGCAUGAAGCAAUAUGAAUAGGUGGUAUCUCGCUAGCUCUUUCUGAGACCGCAAAACAUAAAUGCAGAGCACUUUCAAAGAUCAAGGGCUGAUUAAACAUUGUAAUUCAUAGCAACGAAGAUCCAGUCAUAGUCAUACUCAAAAUCAAUCAAAAGCAAAGCACCAAAAUGACAGAGGUGCUCUCUAAUUGGCACUUAUAUAAGAAGAGGAUGACUCGACAGGAAAAUAAAUAGAUAGGCCCUUCGCAGAGGGAAGCAUUGAUUUGCAGAGGUGCCAGAGCUCAAGCUUUGAAAACAGAGAUAAUAAUUUUGGGUGGCAUGCUUUCAUUGUCAACGCAAUGACCAAGAGUUCUCAAUAUCUUCCAUGCUACUCAUGCUAUAGGAGGUUCCCAAACAGAAAAGUAAAGUUUUAACUCCCCCACCACCAAUCAAUCAUACUCCACGGCUAGCCGAAUCCUCGGGUACCGUCCAUACUAACAUCAGUCCGGGGGGAGUCUUGUUUUACAGUUAUGUUUUCGAUUUAAGCGUGGAACUGGGCAUUCCAAUUACCGACCCCUCUCUCGUGAAUGACAGUGAAAGGACACAUGUCGAGGAUAAAACUCCUAGCAUGGAAGAUACCACUAGCCCCCUGUCACCACAUGAGCGGUUCGGGCAUGCAAAACAGAUUAUUUCUUGAAGGUUUAGAGAGUGGCACAUGCAAGUUUACUUGGAACGACGGGUAGAUACCGCAAAUAGGUAGGUAUGGUGGACUCUCAUGGAAAAACUUUUGGGUUUAUGGAAGUGGAUGCAUAAGGAGUAUUCCGCUUAGUACAAGUGAAGGCUAGCAAAAGACUGGGAAGUGACCAACUAGAGAGCGACAACAGUCAUCAAGAUGCAAUGAGUUUGACUAACAUUGAAUGCAAGCAUGAACAGGAUAUAAAUCACCAUGAACACGAACAUCAUAGAGGCUAUGUUGAUUUUGUUUCAACUACCUGCAUGAACAUGCGCCAAGUCAAGCCACUUGAAUCAUUCAAAGGAGAAUACCAUCCUAUCAUACUACAUCAUAGUCAUUUAAAAAUCUAUGCUGGCAUUCAAGACAAACCAUUAUAAGCUCCUAGCUAAAUAAGCAUGGCAUCAGAAACUAUGAUCUCUAAGUUUUCAUUGCAAAUAUGGUUCUCUCACAACAAAGCUGAAUCUGGGAUGACAAGAUAGUCAUAUUUACAAAAACAAAAUAGAUAGAGUUCAUACCAGCUUUUCAGUCUCAGUCACUUCAUCAUAUAUCAUCAUUAUUGCCUUUCAUUUGCACGAUCGAACGAUGUGAACAAUAAUAAGAGUUCUCGUGCAAUGGACUAAGUUGAAUCUGCAGGCAAACACAAAGGAGAAGACAAAGUAAUAUGGCUCUUUGAAAACUAAACAUUGUAACCAAUAUCUUCUACCUUGACCCAAAGAAAAAGAAAACUAUUUACACAGGAAAGCUCCCAACAAGCAAAAGAAGAAAGGAAAAUAUUUUUGUGUUUUCUCAAAAGGACACAAAACAAGAAAACAAGAAAAUGAAAAUAAACUAGCAUGGAUAAUACAGUGGCAAAGUGUGAACACUGGCUAACAAAGUGAAAACAUAAGCAUGAAUGUAAAGUCGGUGAGAACACAUACUCCCCCAAGCUUAGGCUUUUGGCCUAGCUUGGUCUACUCCCAAGGUGGGAAAUAACCAACUCUAGGAUACUCCGGAGCAGACUGUGGAUGCCACUGCUGUGUGAGCUCCUCUGGCUCCCACUGAUAAACUGGCGUCUGGUACUCGACUGGCGGCUCGGGCACGGGCGCCUGUGGUUGGGCCAAGCCCCAAUAUGUGUAGAUGCCCGAUGGCAUAAUAGUGUACCUGCCUACAUGAAGAUCGAACAAAGAAGGAGCAGGCAAAGUAAUAGUCUCUCGAGUACCCUGACUAAAUACCAGGUUAUAAAUCAUCCGUCUACUAGCAUCUCUAUCCAGAAAAUCAUGGCAGACCAUGCUGUCAUAAUCCAGAUAUUUCUUAGAAAGAAGCAUCUCUCCUUCCUCUCACAGUCUAAUGGGUAUCUCAAAGUGUGUGGCAAGAUGGGUAGCAUAGAUACCUCCAUAGAAGACACCCUUGGAACGGUGGGUGUUCAACCGCUGGGCCACUAUAGCACCUAGGCUAUAAGUCUUAUCGUUAUAAAGGCCUUCGCGCAAAACCGCAAGGUCUGGAGAACUAAGUGAUCCAGCCUCCCCACGGCCAAUCAAACAUUUUCCCACAAAUAGUGAGAAGUACCGAAGCACAGAAAAUGUAUGCUAGCAAUUCUAGCGCGAUUCACUCCUCUCUCCUCUCCAACAGCAAUAGUACCAAUGAAAUCCUCCAAGUCCCGUGGACGAGGGUCACAGAUAUCCCCAACAUAAGGUAAUUUGCAUACAUUGCAAAAAUCCUGUAGUGUCAUGCACUGGGAAACAUUGUAUAUCAUGAACUCAACCAUGGGAGGAUUCUUCCUCAGAUAAAAGUUGAAGCUUUGAACGAAAGUAUUGGUGAGGAGGAGGUAUUGUGAGCACUUAUCUGCAACGAACGCAGUAAGAUCUGCGUUCUCCACCAAGUAAUAAAAUUCUUCAUAAAGCCCAGCGGCGUGCAAAAAUUCAUCACUUGGCCAUUCACACGCUCGAACUUCCGUGACUCGAGGGACUACGUACUUGGGGUGGUUCUUCUCAUCCUCCUUGGGGUUACGGCUUGAGGAGCCUCUCAAGAACGUCCUCAUCUUUUCCUUUUUCUAGUUCUAAAAAAUUCUGAAAUUUUUAGAGACUUCGAAAGAAAAGUGAAUAAAGAUUAACCCAACUUGUAGCAACUACUCCUACUAGUGCCUAGAGUCCGUAUCACGCGCUAAAACUACUUGGGACCAGCUAAAAUCAACAUUUCUAGCUCAAGAACAGGGUCACCAAGGUAGCAAGAAUACGCGAAGGAUAAAGCACUAGAGCAAAAACUAAUUGGACCAAUGGAGGAGUCACUUACCAAGGAGUAAUUUCCCCAAAUUGGUUCGGAGAAUGGUGCUUUGAGCAAGGAGAUCAAAAAUCACAGCCAAAUGAGCAAGAACACGGGUUUUAGCUGCGAAACAAUUUUUUCUAGAGGUGGAAGAAGAGGAUGGGAGCUGGAAGGAAUGGAGGGGGUCCCUGUGGGCCCCACAAGCUUGCUAGCCGCCACCAGAGGGGUGGCGGUGUCAGGGCAUGUGGCCCAGUGGUCAGGCCACCAGGCCAGCUCUCGGGCCCAGUAAUUUUCAAAUAUUCCAGAAAAAAUCAUACUAAAUUUUCAGGACCAUCGGAGAACUUUUAUUUUCGGGGUAUUUUCCUCCGGGACGCUAAAACAGAAAACAUGAAAACUAAACUAAAUCUAUCAUUUUUCUUCUAAGCAACAGAAAAUGAAAGCUCAAAACAGAGGUAUGUGACUCUUUUAUUCAUCCAUUUCAUGGUCAUCGAAAUAAAUCCGUCAAUGGGGUUGAUCAAGUCCUCAUGACAAAACCUUCUCGAAUCGCAAGAGAGAACGGAGAAUUUUCGAAUAGCCACUAAGUCACCUCAAUGGGGAUAUGUAUCUCCCCAACAAGCAAAUCAUACUUCAUCUUGACACGAGGAAUAGGGCAUUCAAAGCUCCCAAUAAGAAUCGAUGAAGUAUUUUCGAUAGCAUUGAUGCAAUGUACUUGAUAUCGUUUCUUCGGAAAGUGCACUGUGUGCUCAUUACCGUUGCCAUGGAAAGUGACAUUGCCUUUGUUGCAAUCUAUAACAGCCCCUGCAGUGUUUAAAAAGGGUCUUCCGAGGAUGAUAGCCAUGGCAUCGUCCUCGGGAAUAUCCAAGAUAACAAAGUCUGUUAAGAUAGUGGUGUUAGCAACCACAACACGCACAUCCUCGCAAAUGCCGAUAGGGAAAGCAAUUGAUUUGUCAGCCAUUUGCAGAGAAAUUUCAGUGGGUGUCAACUUAUCCAAUUCAAGUCUAUGAUAAAGAGAGAGCGGCAUAACACUAACACCGGCUCCAAGGUCACAUAAGGCAGUUCUUACAUAGUUUUCUUUAAUGGAACAACGUAUAGUGGGCACUCCGGGAUCACCAAGUUUCUUAGGAGUUCCACCUUUGAAAGUGUAAUUGGCGAGCAUAGUAGAGAUCUCAAGAUCUGGUAUCUUCCGUUUAUUAGUCACGAUAUCUUUCAUGUACUUGGCAUACGGACAUAUCUUGAGUAUAUCAGUUAACCGCAUCUGCAAAAAGAUGGGUCUUAUCAUCUCAACAAAGCGCUCAAAAUCCUCAUCAUCCUUUUUCUUGGAUGGCUUAGGAGGAAAGGGUAUAGAUCUCUUAACCCAUGGCUCCCUUUCUUUACCAUGCUUCCUAGAAGUGAAGUCAUUCUUGUCGUAUCUCUUAGGUUGUGGGUUAUCAGGAUUAACCGUAGGUUCAAUCUCGACAUCCUCAUUAUUGCUAGGUUGAGCAUUAUUAUGAACAUCACUGUCCAUAUUGUCACCAGGUUCAUGUUCAUCACCAGAUUGUGUUUCUGCAUCAGACGCAGAAAUAUCAUUAGGUUCUUCAGGUGUGACAGUAUUUGGUGAACUGGCACGUAGGUUUCUAUCAUCCUUCUUCUUCUCCUUAGGAUGACUGGGUGUAUCAGCAUUAAUUCCUUGAGAAUCUUGAUCAAUUCUCUUAGGAUGACCUUCAGGAUACAAAGGUUCCUGAGUCAUUUUGCCUCCUCUAGUAAUGACUCUGACAGAGUUGUCAUUUAAUUCAUUGAGCAGGUCAUUCUGAGCUUUAAAUACUUGUUCUACCUCAGUAGUAAUCAUAGAGGCAUGUUUACUCAGAAGCUUCAGAUCAUUGAAAUUUCUGUCUAAUCAAGCACUUGGAUGGCUAAGCAUACGAGUACUUUGUUCCAAAUGUCUGCUAACGUAAUCAUUGAAACUCUGUUGUUUGGCAACAAAGUUGUCAAAUUCAUCAAAGCAUAGGCUAGCAGGUUUGUCAAAAAGAAUAUCACUCUCAUCAAACCUACGCAGAGAAUUCACUUCUACUACUUGUAUCGGGUUAUCGAGACCAUGGAUCUCUUCGAUAGGUGGUAGAUUUUUGACAUCUUCAGAUCUAAUGCCUUUCUCUUGCAUAGAUUUCUUGGCUUCUUGCAUAUCUUCGGGACUGAGGAAUAGAAUACCUCUUUUCUUUGGAGUUGGCUUAGGAGGUGGUUUGGGAAUAGUCCAAGCACUAUCGUUGAUCAAGAUGUUAUUCAGUAGGGUCUCAGCUUGUUCUACAGUUCGUUCCCUAAAAACACAACUGACACAACUAUCUAGGUGGUCUCUAGAGGCAUCGGUAAGUCCAUUAUAAAAGAUAUCAAGUAUCUCGUUCUUCUUAAGAAGGUGAUCAGGCAAAGCAUUCUAUAGCUGGAUGAGCCUCCCCAAGCUUGUGGGAGACUCUCUUCUUGGAGUUGAGCAAAGUUGUAUAUUUCCUGCAAGGCAGUUUGCUUCUUAUGGGCAGGGAAAUAUUUCUCACAGAAGUAAUAGUUCAUAUCGUGGGGACUACUCACACAUCCAGGAGCAAGAGAGGUGAACUAGGCUUUAGCGUCAUCCUUUAGAGAGAAAGGAAAUAGUUUAAGGAUAUAGUAGUGGCGGAUCUUCUCCUCACUAGUGAAAAGGGUGGCUAUAUCGUGUAGUUUGGUAAGAUGGGCUACGACCUUCUCAGACUCAUAACCGUGGAAAGGAUCAGGUUUGCCUAGAGAGAUUAUCUGAGGGUCAAUAGAGAAUUCAUAAUCCUUAUCGGUGAUAAAGAUAGGUGAAGUAGCAAACUUCGGGUCGUAUUUCAUCCUAGCUUUCACAGAUUUUUCCUACCACUUGAGAAGUAAUUUCUCAGUGUCAUAGGCAUCCUUACACGCAAGAAAAUCCUCAGCUAUCUCUCCCUCCAUAACGUAACCCUCAGGUAUAUUAGGCAAUUCAUAUCUAGGAGAGCUAGAUCUAGCAGGAGCAAAAGCAGGUUCUAUCUCAAUAGUAUCGACAAUUUCAGAAGCAUCACGAGCAUUGGCAGUAACUCUAGCAAUAUGAGCAUCAAGGNNNNNNNNNNNNNNNNNNNNNNNNNNNNNNNNNNNNNNNNNNNNNNNNNNNNNNNNNNNNNNNNNNNNNNNNNNNNNNNNNNNNNNNNNNNNNNNNNNNNGGCAGACGACAAAGGGAGCGCCCAUUAUGGGGUGGGAGGGGUGUGUGGUGCGCCGCCCCAUGCUCUUUGCCGUCUUCCCUCCUGCUCUUUGCCGUGCGCCAGCAGACGACAAAGACAAUACUCAUGGCAACGAGUAUGUUUGCCAUCACUCUGCUCUUUGCCGUUAGUUUUCGGGUGACCGACGACAAAUAGGGUCUUUGCCAUCAGCCAGCAGACGACAAAGAAGAGGCUGACGGCAAAUAAGUGAAUUCUAGUAGUGCACUUCUCUUUAGAGAGAUCAAUAUGAGCAGCAAAUGAUUCACACAAUGAAGCUACUAUCUCAGAGUCAAGUCCAUAUUUAGCGCUAAAAUCACAGAAAGUAUUUGUUUCAACAAAGGAUUUAACGCAAUCAAACUUAAGAUUCAUACCUGGCUCCUUACCUUCAUCAAACUCCCAAUCUUCAGAGUUGCGUUUAAUUCUCUCCAAUAAAUUCCAUUUGAAGUCAAUAUCUCUCUUCGUAAAAGAACCGGUACAAGAAGAGUCAAGCAUGGUGUGAUUAUCAUGAGAAAGCCGAGCAUAGAAGUUCUGAAUGAUUAUUUCUCUCGAAAGCUCAUGGUUGAGCCAUGAAUAUAACAUUGAUUUAAGCCUCCCCCAAGCUUGAGCGAUACUUUCUCUAUCACGAGGCCAAAAAUUAUAGAUAUAAUUCCGAUCACUAUGUACCACAUGCAUAGGAUAAAACUUUUGAUGAAAUUCUAACUUCAACCGGUUGUAGUUCCAUGAUCCAGUAUCAUCACAUAGCCUAUACCAUGUCAAUGCUUUAUCCCCCAAAGAUAAGGGAAAGACCUUCUUCUUGACCUCAUCCUCGGGCAAACCUGCAAGCUUAAAUAAACCACAAACUUCACCUACAUAGAUUGGAUGCAAGUUGUGAUGUGAUGUUCCAUCUGCUGUAGAAGGAUUAGCCAACCGUUUCUCUAGCAUACCCGAAGGAAUUUCAUAACAAGUAUUUUCAGUAGGUGCAUCAUGUUGAGGAGCAACUGCUUGUGCUUCCGUUCGAGGUGAAGAUACCCCGAACAGGCUCGUCAAAUGAUUAGUUUCCAUAGUGACAAGUGACAAUAAAUUUCAGCACACUAUAUAAAUGUUUCCUUACCAAAUUCCACUUAAAAAGGCGCUUCACUCCCCGGUGAUGUCAGCUGAGCUAAUGCACAAAAGUCCUUCCAAUGGCGCCAGAAACAGGUGUGUCGACGACACCAGGAAUCCUUCAGCUGCGGCUACGCCUUAAGGGACUUCCUAGGGAAGUAUGCAAAGGAUUUCCCCCGUGGCCUUGGAGCCUUGCGUUGGUGUUCCCUUGAAGCGGAAAGGGUGAUGUAGCACAGCGACGGUAAGUAUUUCUCUCAGUUUGAGAACCAAGGUAUCAAUCCGGUGGAGGAGUAUCACAGGAUCCUGCACAAACACAAAAGCUUGCUCCCAACGCUAUGAAGGGGUUGUCAAUCCCUUAUAGGUUGUUUGCCAAGUGAGAACUGAAAGCAACAAAGUAACAAAGCAAAGUAAAAGCGGAGGUGUAAACGAUGGAUGUGAAUAGGCCUGGGGGCCGUAGUGUUACUAGUGGCUUCUCUCAUGAAAGCAAGUAGACGGUGGGUGAAAAAAUUACUGUCGAGCAAUUGAUAGAACCGCGCAAAGUCGUGACGAUAUCUAUGCAAUGAUUAUAUCUAUAGGCAUCAUGUCCAAAACAAGUAGACCGAUACUUUCUGCAUCUACUACUAUUACUCCACACGUCGACCGCUAUCCAGCAUGCAUCUAGUGUAUUAAGUCCAUAAGAACAGAGUAAUGCCUUAAGGAAGAUGACAUGAUGUAGAGGGAUAAUCUCAAACCAAUGAUAAAAACCCCAUCUUUUUACCCUUGAUGGCAACUACUUGAUGUGUGCCUUGCUGCCCCUACUAUCACUGGGAAAGAUCACCACAUGGUAGAACCCAAAACCAAGCACUUCUCCCAUUGCAAGAAUCAUAGAUCUAGUUGGCCAAACAAAACCCAAGACUCGGAGAGACUUACAAGGAUAUCAAAUCAUGCAUACAAGAAAUCAACAAAGACUCAAAUAUAUAUAAUAGAUAAUCUGAUCACAAAUCCACAAUUCAUCGGAUCUCGACAAACACAUCGCCAAAGAAGAUUACAUCGGAUAGAUCUCCAUGAAGAUCAUGCAGAACUUUUUAUUGAAGAUCCAAGAGAGAGAAGAAACCAUCUAGAUACUUACUACGGACCCGUAGGUGUGAAGUGAACUACUCACGAGUCAUUGGAGGUGCGAUGAUGAUGAUGAAGAAGCCCUCCAACUCCAAUGUCCCCUCCGACAGGUCGCCGGGAAGGGUCUCUAGAUGAGAUCUCGCGGAAACGGAAGCUUGCGGCGGCAGAAAAGUAUUUUCGAGGCUCCCCUGAUUUUUUGCGGAAUAUUUGGGAAUUUAUAGGCCAAAGACCUAGGUCAGGGGGCGGCUAGGGAGGCCACAAUCCUGCCCACCACCGCCUCCCCCCUGGUGGUGGAGUGGGGGCUUGUGGGCUCCCUGGAGCCCACCUGGCUUGGCCCAAAAGCCCCCUGGUCUUCUUACGUUCGGGAAAAAAUCAUUUCGGGGUUUUUCUUCUGUUUGGACUCCGUUCCAAAAUCAGAUCUGAAAAGAGUCAAAAACACACAAAAAACACGAACUGGCACUUGGCACUUGGCACUUAAUUAAUAAGUUAUUCCCAAAAAAGAUAUAAAAGGUACAUAAAACAACCAAAGAAGACAAGAUAACAGCGUGAAACCAUCAAAAAUUAUAGAUACAUUUGAGACGUAUCAAGAAUCCCCAAGCUUAACUCCUGCUCGUCCUCGAGUAGGGAAGUGAUAAGAAUGAAUUUUUGAUGCUUUCAUGCUACCUAGCAUAGGUGUCCUUUGUAAUUCCUCUUAUAUGACGUGAAUGUUCAGAUCCAUUAGAUUCAAAACAAUAGUUUGCUAUUGACAUGGAAACAAUAAUAAUUCAAGCAAACUAGCAAAGUAAUCAUGAACUUUCAAAAUAACAAGGCCAAAAGAAAGUUAUCCCUACAAAAGCUUAUAGUCUGGCUAUGCUCUAUUAUCAUUGCCCAACGAAUUUAAAUCAUGCACAACCCCGGUAUUGGCCAACUAAUUGUUUCACACCUUUACUUUCUCAAACCUUUUCAACUCUCACGCAAUACAUGAGCGUGAGCCAUGGUUAUAGCACUAUAGAUGGUGUGGAAUGUGGUGGAGGUUGCAAGAAAAAAAAGGAGAAGAUAGUCACAUUAACUAGGCAUAUCAAUGAGCUGUGGAGAUGCUCACGAAUAGAUAUCAAUGUGAAUGAGUAGGUAUUGCCAUACAAAUGAUGCACUAGAGCUGCGAGUAUGUGAAAGCUCUUAAAGAAAACUAGUGGGUGUGCAUCUAACUUGCUUGCUCACCAAGACCUAAGGCAAUUUUGAGGAAGCCUAUCAUUGGAAUAUACAAGCCAAGUUAUAUAAUGAAGAUUUUCCCACUAGCUAUAUGGUGGUGACAAAAGGAGAGACUCUCAAUCUUGAAGAUCAUGGUGCUCAAUAUGCACAAGUGUGGAAAAAGUGGUAAUAUUGUCCCUUCUCCCUUUUUCUCUCAUUUUUUUUGUUUGGUGGGCUCUUUGGCCUUCUUUUUUUGUGGGCUUCUUUGGCCUCUUUUAUUUCCUCACAUGGGACAAUGCUCCAUUAAUGAUGAUCAUCACACUUUCAACUCAAAACUUAGAGCAAUGAUGACUCUAUCUGAAAUGCCUUCGGUAGUAUACCGUGGCAAUGAUCUAGCAUGGCAUAGACAUCAAUGGAAACAUCAUGCUAGCUAUCUUAUGAUCAUGCAAUGGCAAUGUAGACGUGGUGGCACAUGUCAUGGUGGUAGUUGCAUGAUAAUAUAUCUCGGAAUGACUUUGAAAAAGCCAUAGUAUGUAGGUAUGGUGGCUGUUUUGAGGGAGGCUAAUGGUGGGUUUUGAGGGAGGCGAAAGUUGCACGGUACUAAGAAGAUANUAAACCAUCGCGCGAUCCCGACCGCCACGCAAAGGAUGACAAUCAAUAUACUAAUCAUGCUCAGAUUUCAUCACAUAGUGGUUCACCAUACGUGCAUGCUACGGGAAUCACUAACUUCAACUCAAGUGUUUCUAGAUCCACAACACCUUAGUAGCAUGACUUCAAUAUUACCAUAGCCACAACUCAAAACUAAUUGAGAUGAAUCAAACUUCUCUAACUAUUCAAUGCACAUGAAGGUGGAAGUUUUCGUAUCCCUUUGGAUAACUACCCCUUUUGAGACUACCUUCAAAGCAUAGAUCAACUACCAAGCCACGCACCGCUGUGCUCUAAAAGAUAUAAGUGAAGUACAUAGAGCAAAAGUAUCUAGCACAAAAGAUAUAAGUGAAGCACAUGUGAGCUGAAUUGUCUACCAAAAGAUAUAAGUGAAGCUCGACAAAAUCACGGUGUGUGCAUGUCUCUCUCUCUAGGUGUGAAGCAAGGAUGAUUGUAACACAACAAAAAUAAAAGACUCCUACGAUAAAAGACGCCCCAAGCAAAAACACAUAACAUGUGGUGAAUAAAAAUAUAGCCCCAAGUAACGUUACCGAAGGAUUGAAGACAAGAGAGGGGAUGCCUUCUCGGGGCAUCCCCAAGCUUAGGCUUUUAUGGCAUCCUGUAAUCUCUUGGGGUGCCUUGGGCAUCCCCAAGCUUGAGCUCUUGCCACUCUUUAUCUCUUUGUCCAUAAGAACUUCACCCAAAACUUGAAAACUUCACAACACGAAACUUAAACAGAAACUCGUGAUAACAUUAGUACAAGAAAGCAAACCACCACUUCCUCAGGUAUUGUAGCAAACUUAAAUUCUACUUGUGCUGAUGUUGGGUUACUGUAAUUUCAAUUUUCUAUGGCUAAUACCCCCCGAUACAAUCCAUUGUUUCAUCAAAAUAAGCAACCAACACAACAAAAACAGAAUCUGUUAACAGCAGACCAGUCUGUAGCAAUCUGUAUAUUUCAUAUACCUCUAGUACUUCACAAAUUCUGAAAGAUUACUAUGGUCUGAAGAAUUUGCGUAACAAUCAGUAGAAAAAAGAAUAAACUCAAAAGCUCUUACAGAAAAAAACUGAAAAUUCUUUUCGUGAGCAGAAAGUUUCUGUCUUUUCCAGCAUGACCAAACGAUCAUCCCCAAGACUAAUCAUAACGGUUUUGCUUGGCACAAACGCAAAAAAGAAACACAAAAACACAAUCAUAACAGAAUUAUGAAAGUGUGGAAAACACAAAAUAGAAAGAAAAAGGAUAGAUUCUUUGUGUUGCCUCCCAACAAGCGCUUUUGUUUAAUGCCCUUAGCUAGGCGAAAGGUGAUGAAAUCAUGUAUAGUCAUCUUUGGUGCUCAAACCAUAGGUAGCCCUCAUCAUGGAUACAUAAGGCAAACUUAUUUUAUUUCUAGGAAAGUUCUCCAUGCCCUUCUUUAAAGGAAAUUGAAAUCUAAUAUUCCCUUCCUUCAUAUCGAUGAUAGUACCAAUAGUCCUUAGGAAAGGUCUACCAAGAAUAAUGGGACAUGAAGGAUUGCAAUCUAUGUCAAGUACAAUGAAAUCCACGGGUAGAUAGUUCUUAUUUGCAAUAAUAAGAACAUCAUCGAUCCUCCCCGUGGUUUUCUUGACAGUAGUUUCCGCAAGAUGCAAAUUAAGAGAACACUCUUCAAUCUCAUGAAAACCAAGAAUAUCACAUAAAGACUUUGGAAUCGCGGAAACACUAGCACCCAAAUCACACAAAGCAUUGCACUCAUAGUUUUUGAUCUUGAUUUUGAUAGUAGGUUGCCACUCAUCAUGAAGUUUUCUAGGUAUAGAGACUUCUAGUUCGAGCUUCUCUUCAAGAGAUUUCAUCAUAGCAUCUACGAUAUGCGCGGUAAAGGCUUUGCUUUGGUUAUAAGCAUGUGGAGAGUUUGCAAUGGAUUGCAUCAAAGAAAUGCAUUCAAACAAGGAGAAACUAUCAUAAUUGAAUUCCUUGAAAUCCAAAGUGGGAGUUUCAUUACUACCCAAAAUUUUGACUUCUUCUACUCCACUCUCGACACCUUUAUCAUCAAGAUAGGUGGACUCCGAAUCAUUGGGGCAUUUUUCAACCAAAGUGGAUUCAUAUCCAGCCCCUCCAUAAGUACAUUUGACACGAGAAAACAAAGAUUCAAGAGGAGACACACCAAGCACUUUAAGAUCGUGAUUUUCAUCACUAGAACGCACCCUUUUAAACCAUUCAUGUCUAGCGCGAAUUUGGGUGGUUCUUUCUUUGCUCUCAUUCAUGGAGAUACACAUAGCUUUCAAAGUUUCAUCCAAGUUGACCUUGGGAGGAGCGCAUCUAACUUUCAAAGCAUCAAUAUCACAAGACAUUCCAUCAACGCUCUUAGCCAAAUCGUCUAUUUUGAGUAGUUUUUCCUCUAUGGACGCAUUGAAAAUCUUUUGAGAGUUGAUGAACUCUUUGAUAUUACUCUCUAGAUCACAGGGUUAUUUGUUGUGAUUUCCAUAAGUGUUGCCGUAGGAAUUGCCAUAAUUGUUAGAGUUACUAGGAAAAGGCCUAGGAACAUAGUUUCCUCUAAAAGCAUUGUUGUUGCCAAAAUUGUUCCUACCAACAAAAUUCACGUCCAAAAUAGCGUUGCUACUCUCAAUCAAAGAAGAUAGUGGCAUGUCAUUAGGAUCUACGGUAGCGUUUAUACUAGCAACCAAAUUCAUCAACUCGUCCAUCUUAGCACUAAGCGAGUUAAUUUCUUCUAUAGCGUGCACCUUUUUGCUAGCAGGCGACCUUUCAGUGUGCCACUUAGAGUAGUUGGUCAUGAUAUUGUCUAGGAGUUUUGUAGCGUCUCCUAACGUGAUUUCCAUGAACGUUCCACCUGAGGCGGAGUCCAAGAUAUUGCGAGAAGUGAAAUUCAAGCCAACGUGAAAGAUUUGUAUAAUCAUCCACAAACUGAAGCCAUGAGCGGGACAAUUUCUAAUCAUAAGCUUCAUCCUCUCUCAAGAUUGUGCAACGUGUUCAUGAUCAAGUUGCUUGAAAUUCAUGAUAUCGUUACGUAAGGAGAUGAAAAUACUUGGAUAUGUAAGCAUCUUUGCACUUAUCCCAAGAAUCGAUACUAUUUUUAGGCAAAGAAGAAAACCAAGUUUUUGCGCGAUCUCGCAACAAGAAAGGAAAAAGUUUCAACUUAAUCAUGUCAUUAUCCACAUCUCUUUUCUUUUGCAUAUCACAAAGCUCAAUGAAGGUAUUGAGAUGGGAUGUGUCAUCUUCACUAGGAAGGCCAGAGAAUUGCUCUUUCAUAACAAGAUUCAGCAAAGCUGCGUUGAUUUCAUACGAUUCCACACUAGUGGCGGGAGCAAUCGGAGUACUAAUAAAAUCAUUAUUAUUAGUGCUCGAGAAGUCGCAAAGUUUGGUGUUUUCAGACAUGAUGUCUUCAACAAACAAACAAGCACACAAGAAAGCAAGAGAACCAGCAAAGGAAAGAGAAAACGGCGAAGGCGAAAGGCGAAUGAAAACGGCAAAUGUGAAGUGGGGGAGAGGAAAACGAGAGGCAACUGGCAACAAAAGUAAAUGCAAGAGAAGAGUUUGUGAGACCUACUUGGAUAGAUCUUGAUUUCUCCUCCCCGGCAACGGCACCAGAAAUGCUUUUGAUGUCAGCUAAGCUAAUGCACAAAAGUCCUUCCAAUGGUGCCAGAAACAGGUGUGUCGAUGGCACUAGGAAUCCUUCAGUUGCGUCUACGCCUUAAGGGACUUCCUAGGCAAGUAUGCAAAGGAUUUCCCCUGUGGCCUUGGACCCUUGCGUUGGUGUUCCCUUGAACCGGAAAGGGUGAUGUAGCACAACGACGGUAAGUAUUUCCCUUAGUUUGAGAACCAAGGUUUCAAUCCGGUGGAGGAGUAUCACAAGAUCCUGCACAAACACAAAAGCUUGCUCCCAACGCUAUGAAGGGGUUAUCAAUCCCUUAUAGAUUGUUUGCCAAGUGAGAACUGAAAGCAACAAAGUAACAAAGCAAAGGAAAAGCGGAGGUGUAAACGAUGGAUGUGAAUAGACCCGGGGGCCGUAGUGUUUACUAGUGGCUUCUCUCAUGAAAGCAAGUAGACGGUGGGUGAAUAAAUUACUGUCGAGCAAUUCAUAGAACCGCGCAAAGUCGUGAUAAUAUCUAUGCAAUGAUUAUAUCUAUAGGCAUCAUGUCCAAAACAAGCAGACCGAUACUUUCUGCAUCUACUACUAUUACUCCACACGUCGACCGCUAUCCAGCAUGCAUAUAGUGUAUUAAGCCGAUAAGAACAGAGUAACGCCUUAAGCAAGAUGACAUGAUGUAGAGGGAUAAUCUCAAACCAAUGAUAAANUUUUUACCCUUGAUGGCAACUACUUGAUGUGUGCCUUGCUGCCCCUACCGUCACUCGGAAAGGUCACCACAUGGUAGAACCCAAAACCAAGCACUUCUCCCAUUGCAAGAAUCAUUGAGAUGGUGCUGAUGAAGAUGUUGAUGGUGAUGAGUCCUCUCCGAUGAGAGGAGUGUUGGUGAUGACGAUGGCGAUGAUUUCCCACUCUGGGAAGGAAGUUUCCCCGGCAGGACGGCCCUGCCAGAGCUGUAGAUUGGUUCUGCUCAAGAUUCGCCUCGUGACGGCGGCAACUCCUCCCGAAAGCCUCCUCUUGAUUUUUUAUGGAAUGAAACCCUCCUUAUAGCAAAAGAGGGGAUCUAGAGCGCCAACAGGGAGCCCACGCCCCCCCCCCCCCCCCUAGGCGCGGCCUGGGGGGUAGGCCGCGCCUAGCAGGCUUGUGGCCUCCUGGUGGCUCCCCUGUGGUACUUCUUCCGCCCAGUAUUUUUUUAUAAAUUCCAAAAUAAUUCCUCGUUGAUUUUCACUGCUUUUGGAGUUGCGCAGAAUAGGCAUCUCAAACUUGCUCCUUUUUUAGGCCAGAAUUCCAGCUGCUGGCAUUCUCCCUCUUCAUGUAAACCUUGUAAAAUAAGAGAGAAAAGACAUAAGUAGUGUACCGUGAAGUGUAAUAACAGCCCAUAAAGCGAUAAAUAUCAACAUGAAAGCAUAACGCAAAAUGGACGUAUCAGGUGCUAGCGGCUAUUUGCAGGUUUUGAAGAAGCAGACGAGGAGUGUCAAAAAAUAAGAGUGGGAGUGCUAAGAAAAAACCCUUGAUUCCUUUGAAAAUUUAGGAGAGAUGAGAAGAUACACGUUUUGCAAGUAGUUUUGAAGGGUCUCGAAAGCAGUUUUAUCCUAACUAACAUCCGUGCUAACUAAGGGCUUCCUAUAGUCAGGAUGGCUGUGAUACCAGCUCUGUGGGGACCCCGACUUACGAGUCGAGAUCGUCGAACGAACGUGCUCAGUGAUCCCAGAGAUCAAUGCUCACAGAACACACAGAAACUGAAUCACAAGAGUCUUACAUCCAUACAUACCGUUUGAUACAAUAAAUGUCCAUUGUGGUCAAGUCUUACAUAUAUAGGGCCUUGAGGGCCAACACACCAAACUGGACAAAUAGCAGAAAUAUUGGUCGAAAGUGUGAACCCAUGCCAUCAGCCUUAACCUACAGGCAUUCUCACUCGGAAGCCUCCUAGCUCGGAAGAACGUCACCGAGUUACUCUUCACCAUAUCCUGUUCUCUCAGACCUGGUGAAUGAAAUAACCAGUGGCAAGCCAAUGAGUAGCUUGAUUGUACUCGCAAACAGCCCAUGAUAUGAUAAUGCAGUUGGUACGGUAACAAGUAAUAUGCAGUAUUGGUGGAUAGCGGCUUGACUGUAAAUAACAUGAUCAUAGAUGGAUGUGCAACAUAAGCUAGAUGCUGUUUAGAAGAACGGGUUACAGAUAUCAAUAUAUCUGCCAAGGGCUGAACGCUCCGGGUUCACCCAAUAUGCCAAGUCACCAAACUUGGUCAUAUCAAUUCUUUCAUAUUAACACCAUUAAACACACACACACUUGGUUUAUGCGGAAACGACUAGACGUAGUUUAAGCAGCACCACCCAACUUUCCUAGACCGUGCACAUGGCUAUUCGAAUAGUUUGACACUGUGCAGAGGUUGUACGCUAUACCCACGAGAUUCGGGAAACUUCCAUGUCAUCCACGACUCACGGUAUAUAACAUACCCGAGUUAAGUACCCGAUCAAUGCCUUUCCACUGACGAUACUAGACAAAUAGGUCCACUCGAUUGGUACCCAGCCCACAUGAUGCACGUCUUACGAGCACUCACUCUGGACAGUAUCAUCCAUGCGGGGACCAACAGUGUGCCCGGAACACGUAAAAACGGCCUAGUCGCUCUACCUGGCACGACCCCAUCACGAGAGUGACCACACAUCACUCCCGUCAAUAGUAAUGUGGCUCUUUGCUAGCACCGACCAGAGUAAUCAACAAAGCCCCGUCCCAUAAAGGGGUAACGUGGUCGCACAUGUAAGGUUGGGACGGUCGACACACCAUAAAUCCAAUCCCAUUUCCAAAACCACUCACACCAAAAUACACCUGGUGCACCACUUCUCCAAAAGAGGCCACCAAUCUCAUCAUCACCCUCAUGCAUUAGUGGCACCCGACGGGGUUUUCAUAAAUCUUUGAUAUUUACCAUCAGCAUGCUCAUGCUUCUACUAUGCUUAGCCCUACUUGUCAACAGGUAUUAGCGUGACCCUGAUAGGUGGUAGGAUCUUGCUCAAAAUGCAAGUGCUCCGGAGGAGCCAUCGGUAACAUCAGUUCGAUGAUUUACCGAAUACUUAUGAUCGUAUGCAACGGGAAUAAUUUCUCUACUAGCAUGCAAUAUAGUAUUUUCUCAGACUUGGUCAAAGGGCUGCUUGCCUUUGCUCACAAGUCCUCGGGGUCUUCGAGGUCUUCUGGUUCAACUUCGAGUACUCUGUUUAGUCCAUCAACUUACGUCGAAAACAACACAGUAAGACACGCAACAAGCAGAAAUAGAAGUUCUACAUAAAUAGGAGUUAUGUUUUUCUUGGACCUCUCUAGUCAUAUGAAAAAUACCUGAAUCUUGCCAUAGGAGACCGGGAUCAUCAGAAAAUUUUGAGUGAACAAAAAGAGGAAUAUGUGAUCUUAAUGGGAGUCUACAGAAAGUAUCAUGAUAAAAAAGAGUGGAGGCACUCAUUUAAUAGAGCAUAAUUUUAGAAAUAUUUAGGAAGUUGUUUCACUGGAUUUGGAGUUGGUAUGAAUAUUCUAUGGAUUUUCUAAUAUGGGAUAAAUAGCAAAAGGGAGCUAUAUAUUUAUUGCAACAGAAAUAUGCCAUACAAAAAUGUUGACCAAGGCUCUAAAAAUAGAGCAUGAUAUUAGAAGGCUCUCGAAUUUGGAAUCACUCCAUUUGGAGUGGAUUUGAAUCCUCUAGGAUUUUUGAAAGGGGGCUAGAAGCACUCAAUUCUUUAUUUAAAUAGAAAUAUAGUAUACAAGUGGUUUGUAAAAAUGUGCAAAGCACACUUCUUGAUAGAUCUUGAUUUUAUGGACCUGCAGAAAUUUGAAUCAUUAAAUUUGGAGCUCAAAUGAUUUUAUAAUGAAUUUUUGAAGUUUUCUGCAAAAAAAUUUGAUAAAAGCUCAGCCACAUGGCUAUCCGGCGCUCAGGCGCCGGAGAGGGAAGUGUGCCGGCUUAGCAGCUUCGGCCUGGGCGGUUGGUGGCCACGCAUAAGGUGGAAUCCACCCAAUGCACCUUAGCCUCGGGGAGGCGGGCUUGAGUGUGACGCCUCAACUUGAACGAGUGGCCCCGGGCCUCUGUCUCACCGACACGCGGGCCCCGGACAUCGGACCUAUCUUCCUCCACCUACUCGAUCUGAGAGCAGGCAGGGAGGCAGGGCAGGGCAACAACUGCUGCAUGCGCCGGUGGCUCUGGCAGCCCCCGGCGAUGGCCGGUGGUCCUGAUGAGCCAAGGGCUGCGUUGCGCCCAUCUCAGUGCCUGGCGAGCGCGGCGGAGGGCCGGAACGGCUUUAGCCGAAUUGGCUGCAGUGAGGGCGGCGAUGGUGGACGUGGGGAGCGGUGUUCCGGCCACCAGAAGGGAAGAGGAAGGAGGGGGAGCUGCGGAGAGGAGGGAGGCCUCUCGACGCAUCCUCAGGGAGGGAAGAGCUCGGGGGAGCCCGAGUUGAAGAAGGGGCCACUGGUGGCUUUGGCCAUUAGAGGAAGAGGAGAGCUCAGGGCUCGAAGGAAAAGGAUGGGAGGUCCAGGAGGUUGCAGGAGAAAGGAGGGAGUGAGGGAGAGCCCGAGAGACCUUGGGGUGAGGAGAUAAGAGAGCCCCCCCCCCCCGCUCUCAGGGCACGGAGCAUACACGCGUCUUUGGGAACUUUGGAGGCGAGCUGGGGUUGGGGAGGGCUUGGACCGGUCAAGGGGAGUGCCCUGGCGCGCUGGGACACGCGACCAUCGAUGGACCCGAGUUGUAGCAAAAGUAAAGGAUGCAGAGCACCGUUGUUGCAUGCUGCCAGGUAGGUCACCAUGGCCACUCGUGUCCACAGGGCUGCUGUGACCAGUCAAACAUGUCCAACACGUAGGGAACACAUGCAGGAAGGAGACUCUGGAGUAUGGUUGCACUUGGGGCUGGUUGGAAUUUGUUUUGGCUGUGGUUAAGAUUCCAGCUGGAAACUUGGGGCUGGCAAAGGUGGAUUUCAGAGGGGGAAACUUGGGGUGAAACUAUGUCUACACCACUGCAAAGUUUCAACUCAAGAAAGGGAGGGUAGCUAGUACUUGCUGUACAAAGCUACAUUUCAGCCACAAUUCAACUUGCAGAUGAGCAUACCAUAACUUGGUUUCUAAUGAUGCCUUGGGAUGCUAGGGACCCUCUGGAAAGAGGUGGGGGCUUUGGCUUAAGCAGAAGUGGGACAAGAGACGUAAAAAUGGUGAUCCAAGGGUAAAAAUGAGAAGUAGUUACAUGGAGCCUCUCUCGAUAAUUGAUCAGUAGCCAUGGAAAUGCUACUGGAGUAAAAAGGUAACUAGGGGAGGUUGUGGUAGAAAGUUGAGCUCAAGGGUUUGAUGAUUGUCAGGGCAACGAGAUGAACCUCAAUGGAUAUGAAACUUGACAUGAUCAAAUAAUAGAUGAAAAUCAGCUUGGAAACCAAAUUUUGGAUUGGGUGGAGAAGGUUCCCUAUGUAGACUUGGAAAACCCAUGAAAUGGGCAGACAUGGCUUUCUGCUUACAAAACUAUUCAAGUCAAUUCCCACAAAUCCAAUAUUUGGUGUGGGGCAUUAUUUGAGCAUUAAAGCCUGCCCAAAAAGUUUGGGGUCAAUUGGAGAAACUUUAUAAUGUAAAGUUUCCCAAAGUUAGAAAUCCACACACAGGGUUUUGAGGGGACUGGGACAAUUUCUUCUAUUCUCCUGGAUGCACCACUUGGUGUGGCUGCAUUAUUGGAGUAUCGGAACAUGUCUACCAAAUUUGAGUACAAUUGGAGACACUUGACAAUGUAGAGUUGCUCAAAUUUGGAUUUGGACAGAUAGGGGUUUAGAAUAAUUAGGGGAGUCAAUUCAACUUGAAUUGAGAUGAAACUUGGCAAGUUCAUCACGUAUAUCAUAUGUGAUAUGCUAGAAUUUACAGGAUUUUAUUGAGAAUAUUUUAUUAUAGAAAUAUUCGAAAAGCUUGAAAUAGGCAGGAAGGGUUUUGGAGGGGGUUGCCCAAUAUUUUGAACAUGACCAUGGGUUGAUACUCAUAUAUAUGUAAUAUAUAUGUCCACUGAGUUUCCCUAAAUUUUCUUAAUAUUUUGAAAGCAAUAAAGAUAACUUUCCUUCAUAAGAGACCAUUUCUAGCCUCACAGGAAGGCAUUUAAAUAAAAUAGUAAAAUAACUUUUAGAAUAACAAUAUUGUGGUUUCGGGUAGCCAUUUUUAUAAUGGGUUUUAAAUAAAAUAAUUGGUGCAAAAUAAAUUCCCUAAUUUGAGGACUUGUAGUAUAAAUCCCAUCUCACAGGUUUUGAAAGCUUAAUUCAAAGAAAUGAUUUUUGGUGAAAAUAAUAUUUGGUAAAAAUAGUUUCUGGUCAUAAACACAUGGCAUGAUAAUAACGCAAGGGUUUGGGUCAAGGUGGUGACUCUCAAGAGUAGAAGGAGUCAUUGAGAAUCAAACACAGGCAUACAAGCAAGCAAGCAAUAGUCACUUCAAGCAUCACAAGCAUUCACAAAAAAUUAAUUGGUCCUAAUUUUGGAAAUAAGUUAAUUAUUCAGGAAAGCUAAACACAUGGUGUUACACUGUGUCAAGAACUAUACCAGGAGUCAGUUGUAGCGUCUACUAAUAAGGCACUCACCACUGUUGGCGAAACUCCCAGGGGGAAGAGGAAGAGCAAGAAAUCAGGCAAGGUCUCUCACAAGGACUUUGUGGAGCGCACCCCACGGUGAUGUAUGCACAUCAAGGAUUCUCUUGAGACUACCACCCCAAGGAGAAAUAAGAACAAAGUGACCAUCCCCAAGAUUAGGCUAGUGGACACGCGGGAAGUCACUGAGGGUGGCACUUUCACCAUAAGUGCCACCCACGACAACAAAUAUGUAAGCACGCUUGUCUGCUUCCGGCAGGUGAACAUCAAUAUGUUUGCGUCGGAACCAUAUGAUAUCCCCGAUGUUCCUAGGGAGGUUAUCGAUCACCACCUUGCCAUUUGCCCCCCCAUUCAAGCAGAAGGUCCGAAAGAAAGCACUCGACCAAUAGGAGUUCAUUGCCGAAUAGAUCAAGAUGCUGGAAGCAGUAGGCCUGGUCAGAGGCGUCCUUCUCCCAACAUGGUUGGCGAAAGCUGUGGUAGUGUACAAGGUGAAUGGUAAGUGGAUGCUUUGCACUGACUUCACCGAUGUCAACAAGUCUUGCCUAAAGGAUCCCUUCCCUUUGCCAUGCAUCAACCAGAUAGUGCACUCGACCGCUGGCGGCAUUCGUCUAUUCUUCCUUGAAGCCUACUCAGGUUACCACCAUAUUUUCAUGGACAACGAAGAUGAAGAGAAUACAACAUUCAUCACACCAUGUGGUACGUAUGUUUCAAGCGCAUGCCAUUUGGACUGAAGAUUGCAUGAUCAACUUUCACGAGGGAUGUAAAGAUCGGUCUCAGUCCAUAGCUACACAGGAAUGUAGAAGCCUACAUGGAUGACAUUGUGGUCAAGACCAAGGCCGAAGCCACGUUGGUUCAUGACCUUGAAUAAACCUUUGACAAUUUGCGCAAGAUCAACUUGAAGCUCAACCCAAAGAACUGCAUAUUCAAAGUCCCAUCCGGCAAGCUCCUCGGUUUCUUUGUGUCAUGGUGCGGGAUAGAAGCAAACCCCACCUUGAUUAAAUCCAUUGAACAUUUGGAAGCUUCGAAGCGUGUCAAGGAUGUACACCGAUUAGCGGGCUGCAUCACCGUCCUCACCAGGUUCAUCUCCAAGUCUGCAGAACACGUCCUCCCAUUUUUCAAGAUCUUGAAAAAGGCAGGUCCUAUGAAAUGGAUCUUGGAGGCAGAGGCCGCGUUGCAUGUCUUGAAAAGGUACUUGUAUUCUCCGCCAACCCUAGUCGCACCCAGUCCCGAGGAACCAUUGCUGCUAAUGGAGGCAACAAACCAAGUGGUUUGCACUGCACUAGUGGCAGAGAGGGUAGCUGAGGAAGACGAGGCAACAUCCCCUGAGUUGGCAAACGACAAACCAGUGUCAUCCCCGGCAAGCCAAGAAGUUGACGACAAGGAUGCAACGCAAGAGGGUGGACGACAGGUUGUGCAAAAGAAGAAAAGGUGCAGCAAACAGUGUACUUUGUUAGCUCUCUCCUGUAGGGGGCUAGAUCAAGGUACUCUAUGAUACAAAAAACUACUCUUUAGCCUCAUCAUGGUCGCCCCGAGUUGCACCGCUACUACCAAGCACACCACAUAAANNNNNNNNNNNNNNNNNNNNNNNNNNNNNNNNNNNNNNNNNNNNNNNNNNNNNNNNNNNNNNNNNNNNNNNNNNNNNNNNNNNNNNNNNNNNNNNNNNNNAGCACCAGCAAUCGCCGUCGGCAUCAUCCCUCCCCUCUACCCAUGUGCGCGAGGGGAAGAAGACGAACCCCAUAGGUGGGUUCCCCUGUCCGCGAGCCAGCCUCGACACCGAUGGAGCAGAUCCCGUGGUGCAUUUUCUCUUUAGAGAUGUGUGUGAUCUGGAGUGUAUUUUCCCUUUCCCGAAAACAUAUUUGUUUUCGAAAAUGUUUUCUUCUCUAUUUUAUUAAAAAACAAAAUUUGGACGAAACUUUGACUGCUUAUAACUUUUAAACUACAACUGCAAACGAGUUGGUUCUUUUUCUGUUGUGUCUCAAAUUUCACCUAAUUUAUUGUCAUAUUUAUUUCAAAAACUUUGAAACAACUUUUAUACACUAUUUUGGAAAUGUGUGUUGAUUCCGA